UCCUAGCAACCACAACAAGCAUUUCCCCAACCCCAACAAACAUUCCCCCAUCAACCACAACAACAAGUUCCCCAGCCUCAGCAACCACAACAACCAUUUCUCCAGCCCCAACAAGCAUUCCCCCAACAACCACAACAACCAUUCCCCCAGACUCAACAACCACAACAACCAUUUUCCCAGCAACCACAACAACCAUUUCCCCAGACUCAACAGCCACAACAACCAUUUCCCCAGCAACCACAACAACUAUUCCCCCAGACUCAACAACCACAACAACCAUUUCCCCAGCAACCACAACAACCAUUCCCCCAGACUCAACAACCACAACAACCAUUUCCCCAGUUCCAGCAACCACAACAACCUUUUCCCCAGCCCCAACAACAAUUCCCGCAGCCCCAACAACCGCAACGAUCAUUCCCCCAGCAACAAAGACCGUCCUUUCAGCCAUCUCUACAACAACGGUUGAACCCAUAAAAGAAUAUCCUCUUGCAACAAUGCAAACCUGCAUCAUUGGUGUCAUCCCUUUGGUCGAUAAUCUGGCCACAAAAUGAUUGCCAAGUGAUGCAGCAACAAUGCUGCCAAGAACUAGCACAAAUUCCUCAGCAGCUCCAGUGUGCAGCCAUCCAUAGCGUCGUGCAUUCCAUCAUCAUGCAGCAACAAGAACAAGAACAAGAACAACAACAACAACAACAACAACAACAACAGCAAGGCAUGCGUAUCUUUUUUCCACUAUCUCGACAACAACAUGUGGGUCAAGGUACUCUCGUCCAAGGCCAGGGCAUCAUCCAACCUCAACAACCAGCUCAAUUGGAGGCGAUCAGGUCAUUGGUGUUGCAAACUCUUCCAACCAUCUGCAAUGUGUAUGUCCCACCUGAGUGCUCCAACAUCAGGGCACCAUUUGCCAGCAUAGUCGCGGGGAUUGGUGGCCAAUGAAAAAAGCAAGAGCUAUACUAAUAGAUAGAUGGAUCCUCGUUGCUUAGCAGAUGCACCAAUCGAUGUAACGAUGACAAAUAAAGUGGCACGUACCAUCAUGUGUGACCCCGACCAGUGCUAGUUCAAGCUUGGGAAUAAAAGACAAACAAAGUUCUUGUUUGCCAGCAUUGAUUGUCAUUGUUCCAUUCACUGUGUAUUUAGUUGUUCAUCCCUAACCGCAGUUCUAGGCUUACACAUCAAUGGCUAUUUGCUCGUGCCGGCAGGUUCCUAUGUAAUCUACCGACUAAUGGUCGGCCUAUUGACCCAGUUUAUAGGCCGAUUGAUAUAUUAAUUGCUGCUCCCAAACUGACCGACCAGCUAUUAGUUACCAUUUUGCUGAACAUUGCACACAAUAAUAACUCAACAUAUUUUAAUGUCUAGAAGUAAAAGGGCCAUUUUAGCAGCAAAACAAGCGCCUGAUUAGGAACCAUCCAGCACUUUAAAUGUUCACCUAGAUAUUUCUACGUUGAUGCAAUUUUGAGAUUGGUGGCACCGAAACAUUCCUCAAAGCAAUUCUUUAUGGGACUCCAAAGAGGUGAAAAUAAAGUAAAGUUGCCACAUGGUAAAAUAUAAAUCAUGCGGCGAGCAAGAGCAAAUAUUGAGUCAUGAUAGCAAGCGCCAAACAUGCCAUUAAACUCUUCAUAUGGUUCCGUGCAGAGAAGGGGGAAAAUUGUUGGGGAACGUAGUCAUUUCAAAAAAAAUCCUACGCACACGCAAGAUCAUGGUGAUGCAUAGCAAUGAGAGGGGAGAGCAUCGUCCACCUACCCUCGUAGACCGUAAGCGGAAGCGUUAUGACAACGCGGUUGAUGUAGUCGUACAUCUAUAUGAUCGACCGAUCCUAGUACCGAACGUACGGCACCUCCGCAAUCUGCACACGUUCAGCUCGGUGACGUCCCAUGAACUCACGAUCGAGUAGAUCUUCAAGGGAGAGUUCCGUCAGCACGACGGCGUGAUGACGGUGUUGAUGAAGCUACCGACGCAGGGCUUCGCUUAUGCACUACUAUGAUAUGACCGAGGUGGAUUAUGGUGGAGGGGGCACCGCACACGGCUAAAGAUCAAUGAUCAACUUGUGUGUCUUGGGGUGCCCCCUGCCCCCGUAUAUAAAGGAGAAAGGGGGGAGGCGGCCGGCCAAGGAGGAGGGCGCGCCAAGGGGGGAGUCCUACUUAGGACUCCUCUUUCCUAUUAGGAGUAGGAGAAGGGGGAAAGGAAGGAGAGGAGGAGAAGGAAGGACGGGGCACCGCCCCUUCCCCUAGUCCAAUUCAGACUAGGCUUGGGGGGGGGGGCGGCCCAGCCCUAGCCAGCCCCUCUCUCUCCCUCUCUCUCCCUGAAGCCCAUUAACGCCCAUAAGAUCCCCGGGGGGUUCCGGUAACCUCUCGGUACUGUGGUAUUUAUCCGGUGUCCGAAUAUAACCUUCCAAUAUAUCAAUCUUUAUGUCUCGACCAUUUUAAGACUCCUCGUCAUGUCCGUGAUCAUAUCUGGGACUCCGAACUACCUUCGGUACAUCAAAACACAUAAACUCAUAAUACCGAUCGUCACCGAACGUUAAGCGUGCGGACCCUAUGGGUCCGAGAACUAUGUAGACAUGACCGAGACACGUCUCCGGGUUUAACCAAUAGCGGAACCUGGAUGCUCAUAUUGGCUCCUACAUAUGUUGGGGAACGUUGCAUAAAAUAAACUUUUUCCUAUGUUCACCAAGAUCAAUCUAUGAGUUCAUCUAGCAACGAGAGAGGGGAGUGCAUCUACAUACCCUUGUAGAUCACGAGCGGAAGCGUUCAAGAGAACGGGGUUGAGGGAGUCGUACUCGUCGUGAUCCAAAUCACCGGAGAUCCUAGCGCCGAACGAAUGGCACCUCCGCGUUCAACACACGUACGGUUAGCGUGACGUCUCCUCCUUCUUGAUCCAGCAAGGGGGAAGGAGAGGUUGAUGAAGAUCCAGCAGCACGACGACGCGGUGGAGGAUGCAGCAGAGUUCCGGCAGGGCUUCGCCAAGCGACUACGGGAGGAGGAGGUGUAGCAAGGGGGGAGGGAGGCGCCAAGACUUCAGGGUGCAGCUGCCCUCCCCUCCCCCUCCUUUAUAUAGGCCCCCUGGAGGGUGGCGCCGGCCCUGGAGAUGGGAUCUCCCAAGGGGGCGGCGGCUAGGGGGGUGGAGUGCCCCCCAAGGCAAGUGGAGGCGCCCCCCCCCCCCACCCUAGGGUUUCCAACCCUAGGCGCAGGGGGGCCCAAGGGGGUCGCACCAGCCCACCAGGGGCUGGUCCCCUCCCCACUUCAGCCCACGGGGCCCUCCGGGAUAGGUGGCCCCACCCGGUGGACCCCCGGGACCCUUCCGGUGGUCCCGGUACAAUACCGGUGACCCCCGAAACUCUCCCGAUCACCGAAACUGCACUUCCUAUAUAUAAUUCUUUAUCUUCGGACCAUUCCGGAACUCCUCGUGACGUCCGGGAUCUCAUCCGGGACUCCGAACAACUUUCGGUUUGCUGCAUACUCAUAUCUCUACAACCCUAGUGUCACCGAACCUUAAGUGUGUAGACCCUACGGGUUCGGGAGACACAUAGACAUGACCUAGAUGGCUCUCCGGUCAAUAACCAACAGCGGGAUCUGGAUACCCAUGUUGGCUCCCACAUGCUCCUCGAUGAUCUCAUCGGAUGAACCAUGAUGUUGAGGAUUCAAGCAACCCCGUAUUCAAUUCCCUUUGUCAAUCGGUAUUUUACUUGCCUGAGAUUCGAUCAUCGGUAUCCCAAUACCUCGUUCAAUCUCGUUACCGGCAAGUCACUUUACUCGUACCGUAAUGCAUGAUCCUGUGACCAGACACUUGGUCACUUUGAGCUCAUUAUGAUGAUGCACUACCGAGUGGGCCCAGAGAUACCUCUCCGUCAUACGGAGUGACAAAUCCCAGUCUCGAUCCGUGUCAACCCAACAGACACUUUCAGAGAUACCUGUAGUGCACCUUUAUAGUCACCCAGUUACGUUGUGACGUUUGGUACACCCAAAGCACUCCUACGGUAUCCGGGAGUUACACGAUCUCAUGGUCUAAGGAGAAGAUACUUGACAUUGGAAAAGCUCUAGCAAACGAACUACACGAUCUUGUGCUAUGCUUAUGAUUGGGUCUUGUCCAUCACAUCAUUCUCCUAAUGAUGUGAUCCCGUUAUCAAUGACAUCUAAUGUCCAUAGUCAGGAAACCAUGACUAUCUAUUGAUCAACGAGCUAGUCAACUAGAUGCUCACUAGGGACAUAUUAUGGUCUAUGUAUUCACACGUGUAUUACGAUUUCCGGAUAAUACAAUUAUAGCAUGAAUAAAGACAAUUAUCAUGAACAAGGAAAUAUAAUAAUGAUCCUUUUAUUAUUGCCUCUAGGGCAUAUUUCCAAAAGUCUCCCACUUGCACUAGAGUCAAUAAUCUACUUACAUUGUGAUGAAUCGAACACCCAUAGAGUUCUGGUGUUCAUCAUGUUUUGCUUGCGGAAGAGGUUUAGUCAACGGAUCUGCGACAUUCAGAUCCAUAUGUACUUUGCAAAUAUCUAUGUCUCCAUCUUGAACAGUUUCACGGAUGGAGUUGAAACGAUGCUUGACGUGCCUGGUCUUCUUGUGAAACCUGGGCUCCUUGGCAAGGGCAAUAGCUCCAGUGUUGUCACAGAAGAGAGUGAUUGGCCCCGACGCAUUGGGUAUGACUCCUAGGUCGGUGAUGAACUCCUUCAUCCAUAUUGAUUCAUGCGCUGCCUCCGAGGCUGCCAUGUACUCCGCUUCACAUGUAGAUCCCGCCACGACGCUCUGCUUGCAACUGCACCAGCUUACUGCUCCACGAUUCACCAUAUACACGUAUCCGGUUUGUGACUUAGAGUCAUCCACAUCUGUGUCGAAGCUAGCAUCGACGUAACCCUUUAUGACGAGCUCUUCGUCACCUCCAUAAACAAGAAACAUGUCCUUUAUCCUUUUCAGGUACUUCAGGAUAUUCUUGACCGCUAUCCAGUGUUCCUUGCCGGGAUUACUUUGGUACCUUCCUACCAAACUUACGGCAAGGUUUACAUCAGGUCUGGUGCACAGCAUGGCAUACAUAAUAGAUCCUAUGGCUGAGGCAUAGGGGAUGACACUCAUCUCUUCUUUAUCUUCUGCCGUGGUCGGGCAUUGAGCCGAGCUCAACUUCACACCUUGCAAUACAGGCAAGAACCCUUUCUUGGACUGAUCCAUUUUGAACUUCUUCAAUAUCUUAUCAAGGUAUGUGCUUUGUGAAAGACCUAUGAGGCGUCUCGAUCUACCCCUAUAGAUCUUGAUGCCUAAUAUGUAAGCAGCUUCUCCAAGGUCCUUCUUUGAAAAACACUUAUUCAAGUAGGCCUUAAUGCUGUCCAAAAGUUCUAUAUCAUUUCCCAUCAAAAGUAUGUCAUCUACAUAUAAUAUGAGAAAUGCUACAAAGCUCCCACUCACUUCCUUGUAAACGCAGGCUUCUCCAUAAGUCUGCAUAAACCCAAACGCUUUGAUCAUCUCAUCAAAGCGAAUGUUCCAACUCCGAGAUGCUUGCACCAGCCCAUAAAUGGAUCGCUGGAGCUUUCAUACCUUGUUAGCAUUCUUAGGAUCGACAAAACCCUCCGGCUGCAUCAUAUACAGUUCUUCCUUAAGAUGUCCGUUAAGGAAUGCCGUUUUGACGUCCAUCUUCCAUAUCUCAUAAUCAUAGUAUGCGGCAAUUGCUAACAUGAUUCGGACGGACUUCAGCUUCGCUACGGGAGAGAAAGUCUCAUCAUAGUCAACCCCUUGAACUUGUCGAUAACCCUUAGCGACAAGUCAAGCUUUAUAGAUGGUAACAUUACCAUCCGCGUCUGUCUUCUUCUUAAAGAUCCAUUUGUUUUCUAUCGCUCACCGAUCAUCGGGCAAGUCUGUCAAAGUCCAUACUUUGUUUUCAUCCAUGGAUUCUAUCUCCGAUUGCAUGGCUUCAAGCCAUUUGUUGGAAUCUGGGCCUGCCAUCGCUUCUUCAUAGUUCGAAGGUUCACCGUUGUCUAACAACAUGAUUUCCAGGACAGGGUUGCCAUACCACUUUGGUGUGGAACAUGUCCUUGUGGACCUAUGAAGUUCAGUAGCAACUUGAUCCGAAGUACUUUGAUCAUCAUCAUUAAUUUCCUCUCCAGUCGGUGUAGGCACCACAGCAACAUUUUCCUGAGCUGCACUACUUUCCGGUUCAAGAGGUAGUACUUCAUCGAGUUCUACUUUCCUCCCACUUACUCCUUUCGAGAGAAACUCUUUUUCCAGAAAGGAUCCGUUCUUGGCAACAAAGAUCUUGCCCUCGGAUCUUAAGUAGAAGGUAUACCCAAUGGUUUCCUUAGGGUAUCCUAUGAAGACGCAUUUUUCCGACUUGGGUUCGAGCUUUUCAGGUUGAAGUUUCUUGACAUAAGCAUCGCAUCCCCAAACUUUUAGAAACGACAGCUUAGGUUUCUUCCCAAACCAUAAUUCAUACGGUGUCGUCUCAACGGAUUAAGACGGAGCCCUGUUUAAAGUGAAUGUAGCUGUCUCUAGAGCGUAUCCCCAAAAUGAUAACAGUAAAUCGGUAAGAGACAUCAUAGAUCGCACCAUAUCCAAUAGAGUGCGAUUACGAUGUUCGGACACACCGUUACGCUGAGGUGUUCCAGGCGGCGUGAGUUGUGGAAUGAUUCCACAUUUCCUUAAGUGCGUACCAAAUUCGUGACUUAAAUAUUCUCCUCCACGAUCUGAUCGUAGGAACUUUAUCUUUCGGUCACGUUGAUUCUCUACCUCAUUCUGAAAUUCCUUAAACUUUUCAAAGGUCUCAGACUUGUGUUUCAUCAAGUAGACAUACCCAUAUCUACUCAAGUCAUCAGUGAGAGUGAAAACAUAAUGAUAUCCUCCGCGAGCCUCAACGCUCAUUGGACCACACACAUCAGUAUGUAUGAUUUCCAAUAAGUUGGUUGCUCGCUCCAUUGUUCUGGAGAACAGAGUCUUGGUCAUUUUGCCCAUGAGGCAUGGUUCGCAUGUGUCAAAUGAUUCAUAAUCGAGAGACUCUAAAAGUCCAUCAUCAUGGAGCUUCUUCAUGCGCUUGACACCAAUGUGACCAAGGUGGCAGUGCCACACGUAUGUGGGACUAUCGUUACCAACUUUACAUCUUUUGGUAUUCACACUAUGAAUAUGUGUAACAUUACGUUCGAGAUUCAUUAAGAAUAAACCAUUGACCAUCGGGGCAUGACCAUAAAAUAUAUCUCUCAUAUAAAUAGAACAACCAUUAUUCUCGGAUUUAAAUGAGUAGCCAUCUCGUAUUAAACGAGAUCCAGAUACAAUGUUCAUGCUCAAACUUGGCACUAAAUAACAAUUAUUGAGGUUUAAAACUAAUCACGUGGGUAAAUGUAGAGGCAGCGUGCCGACGGCGAUCACAUCGACCUUGGAACCAUUCCCGACGCGCAUCGUCACCUCGUCCUUCGCCAGUCUCCGCUUAUUCCACAGCUCCUACUAUGAGUUACAAAUAUGAGCAAUGGCACCGGUAUCAAAUACCCAGGAGUUACUAUGAGUACUGGUAAGGUACACAUCAAUUACAUGUAUAUCACAUAUACCUUUAGUGUUUUCGGCCUUCUUGUCCGCUAAGUAUUUGGGGCAGUUCCGCUUCCAGUGACCCUUCCCUUUGCAAUAAAAGCACUCAGUCUCAGGCUUGGGUCCAUUCUUUGACUUCUUCCCGGCAACUGGCCUACCGGGUGCGGCAACAUCCUUGUCGUCCUUCUUGAAGUUCUUCUUACCCUUCCCUUCUUGAACUUGGUGGUUUUAUUGACCAUCAACACUUGAUGUUCUUUCUUGAUUUCUACUUCUGUUGACUUUAGCAUUGAAAAUACUUCAGGAAUAGUUUUCACCAUCCCCUGCAUAUUGUAGUUCAUCACAAAGCUCUUGUAGCUUGGUGGGAGCGACUGAAGGAUUCUGUCAGUGACCGCCUUGUCCGGGAGGUUGAUGUCCAGCUGGGACAGGCAGUUGUGCAACCCAGACAUUUUGAGUAUGUGCUCACUGACAGAACUAUUUUCCUCCAUCUUACAACUAUAGAACAUGUCGGAGACUUCAUAUCUUUCGACCCGGGCAUGAGCUUGGAAAACCAGUUUCAGCUCCUUGAACAUCUCAUAUGCUCCGUGUUGGUCAAAAUGCUUUUGGAUCCUCGGUUCUAAGCUGUAAAGCAUGCCGCACUGAACGAGGGAGUAAUCAUCAGCACGUGACUGCCAAGCGUUCAUAAUGUCUUGGUUCUCUGGGAUGGGUGCAUCACCUAGUGGUCCUUCUAGGACAUAUGCUUUCUUAGCAGCUAUGAGGAUGAUCCUCAGGUUCUGGACCUAGUCCGUAUAGUUGCUUCCAUCAUCUUUCAGCUUGCUUUCUCUAGGAACGCGUUGAAGUUCAUGUUGACAUGAGCGUUGGCCAUUUGAUCUACAAGACAUUUUUGCAAAGAUUUUAGACUAAGUUCAUGAUAAUUAAGUUCAUCUAAUCAAAUUAUUUAAUGAACUCCCACUCAGAUUUGACAUCCCUCUAGUCAUCUAAGUGUUACACGAUCCGAGUCGACUAGGCCGUGUUCGAUCAUCACGUGAGACAGACUAGUCAUCAUCGGUGAACAUCUCGAUGUUGAUCGUAUCUUCCAUACGACUCAUGUUCGACCUUUCGGUCUCUGUGUUCCGAGGCCAUGUCUGUACAUGCUAGGCUCGUCAAGUUUAACCUAAGUGUUUUGCAUGUGUAAAACUGUCUUACACCCGUUGUAUGUGAACGUAGGAAUCUAUCACACCGGAUCAUCACGUGGUGCUUCGAAAUGACGAACUUUAGCAACGACGCACAGUUAGGGAGAACACUUUCUUGAAAUUAUUAUAAGGGAUCAUCUUAUUUACUACCGUCGUUCUAAGUAAACAAGAUGCAUAAACAUAAUAAACAUCACAUGCAAUUAUAUAGUAGUGACAUGAUAUGGCCAAUAUCAUAUAGCUCCUUUGAUCUCAAUCUUCGGGGCUCCAUGAUCAUCUUUGUCACCGGCAUGACACCAUGAUCUCCAUCAUCAUGAUCUCCAUCAUCGUGUCUCCAUGAAGUUGCUCGCCAACUAUUACUUCUACCACUAUGGCUAACGGUUUAGCAAUAAAGUAAAGUAAUUACAUGGCGUUAAAUCAUUGACACACAGGUCAUACAAUAAUUAAGACAACUCCUAUGGAUCCUGCCGGUUGUCAUAUUCAUCGACAUGCAAGUCGUGAUUCCUAUUACAAGAACAUGAUCUCAUACAUCACAAUAUAUCAUUCAUCAUUCAUCACAACUUUUGGCCAUAUCACAUCACAAGGCAAUUGCUGCAAAAACAAGUUAGACGUCCUCUAAUAGUUGUUGCAUCUUUUACGUCGCUGCAAUAGGGUUCUAGCAAGAACGUUUUCUUACCUACGAAAAAGCCACAACGUGAUUUGUCAACUUCUAUUUACCCUUCAUAAGGACCCUUUUCAUCGAAUCCGCUCCAACUAAAGUGGGAGAAACAGACACCCGCUAGCCACCUUAUGCAAGUAGUGCAUGUCAGUCGGUGAAACCUGUCUCAUGUAAGCGUACGUGUAAGGUCGGUCCGGGCCGCUUCAUCCCACAAUACCCUGAAGCAAAAUAAGACUAGUAGCGGUAAGAAAGUUGACAACAUCUACGCCCACAACAGAUUUGUGUUCUACUCGUGCAAUAGAGAACUACGCAUAGACCUAGCUCAUGAAGCCACUGUUGGGGAACGUUGCAUAAAAUAAAAAAUUUCCAACGUUCACCAAGAUCAAUCUAUGAGUUCAUCUAGCAACAAGAGAGGGAGUGCAUCUACAUACCCUUGUAGAUCGCGAGUGGAAGCGUACAAGAGAAUGGGGUUGAGGGAGUCAUACUCGUCGUGAUCCAAAUCACCGGAGAUUCUAGCGCCGAACGGACGGCACCUCCGCGUUCAACACACGUAUGGUCAGCGUGACGUCUCCUCCUUCUUUAUCCAGCAAGGGGAAAGGAGAGGUUGAUGAAGAUCCGGCAACACGACGGCGUGGUGGUGGAUGCAGCAGAGUUCCGGCAGGGCUUCGCCUAGUGACUACGGGAGGAGGAGGUGUAGAAAGGGGGGAGGGAGGCGCCAAGACUUCAGGGUGCGGCUGCCCUCCCCUCCCCCUCCUUUAUAUAGGCCCCUUGGGGGGGAGCCGGCCCUGGAGAUGGGAUAUCCAAAGGGGGCGGCGGCCAGGGGGGUGGAGUGCCCCCCAAGGCAAGUGGAGGCGCCCCCCCACCCUAGGGUUUCCAACCAUAGGCGCAGAGGGGGGCCAAGGGGGCACACCAGCCCACCAGGGGCUGGUCCCCUCCCCACUUCAGUCCACGGGGCCCUCCAGGAUAGGUGGCCCCACCCGGUGGACCCCCGGGACCCUUCCGGUGGUCCCGAUACAAUACCGGUGACCCCCGAAACUCUCCCGAUGGCCGAAACUGGACUUCCUAUAUAUAAUUUUAUCUUUGGACCAUUCCGGAACUCCUCGUGACGUCCGGGAUCUCAUCCGGGACUCCGAAAAACUUUCGGUUUGCUGCAUACUCAUAUCUCUACAACCCUAGUGUCACCGAACCUUAAGUGUGUAGACCCUACGGGUUCGGGAGACACGUAGACAUGACCGAGACGGCUCUUCGGUCAAUAACCAACAUCGGGAUCUGGAUACCCAUGUUGGCUCCCACAUGCUCCUCGAUGAUCUCAUCGGAUGAACCAUGAUGUCGAGGAUUCAAGCAACCCCGUAUUCAAUUCCCUUUGUCAAUCGAUAUUUUACUUGCCCGAGAUUCGAUCGUCGGUAUCCCAAUACCUCAUUCAAUCUCGUUACCGGCAAGUCACUUUAAUCGUACCAUAAUGCAUGAUCCCGUGACCAGACACUUGGUCACUUUGAGCUCAUUAUGAUGAUGCACUACCGAGUGGGCCCAGAGAUACCUCUCUGUCAUACGGAGUGACAAAUCCCAGUCUCGAUCCGUGUCAACCCAACAGACACUUUCGGAGAUACCUAUAGUGCACCUUUAUAGUCACCCAGUUACGUUAUGACCUUUGGUACACCCAAAGCUAUCAGGACCCCGACUCAAUGCCACAUCGAUCUAGCAUGUAACACCUCAUAUCACUUUGCGGCCUCACGCACGGUAUUCCCACGGGUGUCGUCUUACCUUUGCCCGGGACCGUUUGCACCUUUUGGCACACGUAUAUGAUAGUGUUGCUGGCAUCCAUAUGGUAAGGAGCCCGGGCUGACAUGGCUAGUCGUAAACCCAAAGUGGCACAGACUUACAGGGACAGGCAUCCAUGACCCAGCAUCGAACGUGUCGGUCAUCAGCAAGUGAAUCCGGGCUUUAGCACCGGGCUAGCAGGACUCCGGUAAACCGUGCUGCAGCGGGCUAACAGGACUCCGGUAUUCAUCGCAUGACAUUUCGCCGAAGGGACAGACACAGGAACGAAGAAGGCACAUGCCGGCCAGCCUAAGUGUUCCGGAGCAGUAGCAAGCUACCAUGGCUCAGUGGAAGCACUAGGAGACAUUUCCCGGUAAGAGAGGCUACUAAGGAUAAACAACUAGAUAGUCAGAUCCCACACAUACCAAGCAUUUCAAUCAUACACACAAUAUGCUCGAUAUGUGCAAAUACAACAAGGCAUCACAACAUGACUCUACAACACAAGUACUUUAUUUAAAGGCUCAGAGAGCCAUACAUAGUAUACACACAAGUACGGGUCACAUGACCCACAUUCAAGUAAUACAAGCAUACAAGCCAACAGCGGAAGUAACUUGUCUGAGUAGAGACAACUAGUAAAAUAAAAGAGGCCUGGGUAAGCCUAGCUAUACUACAUGGUCCUUCACAAGCUCAGGAUCACCACCUGGGCCUCAGUCUACUCAUCGAUGUCAACGUCUACGAAGAACCUGUCAGAAGGGGUUGUAGCAUCUUCUGUAAAAUGUAAAUUAGAGCAACAUGAGUACAAAGGUACUCAGCAAGACUUACAUCAGAUCCUACAUACAUGCACAUUAUCAAGAAGGGUUGGUGGGGUUAUUGCAGCAAGCCAGCUUCGACUCUUGGCUAAGCUAUCCUAUGAGACUCCAACUUGAAAUGGUUUUGCACACACGAGUCCACUACUCACCACUUCAAUACACAACCGAGGAUUCACCUCCGUCUUCCUACGGAAGAGCCAUCCUCGGCACUCACAAUUAUCUUGAGGCUUUUAGUAGUUUCCAUUUACUUGUCUAUGAACUGUUAUAGGCAACACAGAAGUCCUUUACCGCGGACACGGCUAUUCGAAUAGAUCAUUUAUAACCCUGCAGGGGUGUACUUCUUCAUACAUGUUUCCACCACUUAGCAUCUGCACACGACAUGUGCUCGGCAGACUUCAAGCGAAAGCGAAAGCCUAAACACUCAAGUCUCUAGUCCAGGUUUAUCGCCUAUUCAGGUUCCAUCCGCAGGGAGUCCGUCCGAGGUUUCCACAUACGGCCCCGAACGAUGUGUAUAGGGUUCCGUGACACCAAACAGGCGCCCGGUAUACCCGGCCACGUGCCUACCGCAUCACAGCCCACCCCUUCGAUCAGCGUUGCGCACGACCUCCAGCAUACUACAAACACCAGAAACUACUUGCAACUCCUGGACAGAGGACAAGGGUGAUUAAGAAGUCGAGCAGGGUCAUAUUUCAGGGCCCAAUGCAUGGUAGUAGCUGAACCAUGGAUCACAAACACAGAACUCAGUUCCUGAGGACGGCUUCAAUGAGACAAUCCACCAUGUACUCCUACAUGGCCUCUCAUAGCUACCUUUACCAAAUCCUGUUCACACACUUAGCUCACACUCAGUAGAAUAUGUUCACGCACCUCUGAUUCAUCCCCGAUGAAUCAGACCUGACUCAACUCUAAGCAAUAGCAGGCAUGACAAACAAACAUGAAUGAGUAGGCACAACAGGGCUCAAACAACUCCUACUCAUGCUAGUGGGUUUCAUCUAUUUACUGUGGCAAUGAUAGGUCCUGCAGAGGAUAAAGGGGUUCAGCUACCGCAGCAAGUAACAGAUGAAUCAUUGCUGUCCUAAUGCAGUAAAAGAGAGCAGGAGCGAGAGAGUAGGAUUGUAUCGAAAUGAACAAGGGGGUUUUGCUUGCCUGGCACUUCUGAAGAUAGUAUACUUCUUCAUCGGUGUCAGCGAUCACAACGUCGGUACAACGUCUACCGAGGGGGAACAACACUGGCAAACAGAGAAGAAACACGAUCAAUGCAAUGCACAAUAUGAUGCCUGCUAUGACAUGGCAAUAUGAAUGUGUUUUGGGCUAAUGCAAGCUAGAACAGAUUGAGAUGAGUCCAUUUGAACCAAAGAUUCAAAUGCAAACCCAUUUUAAGAGGUCAUAAUAGUGUAUUAACUUGUUUCACCUAAACAGCAAGGUUAAUGUGUUCUAACAUGCAUGAAACCAGUGCAGAUGGAUAGAUUGGAUUUUUUUGAUCAUUUUUCAUAUAUAAAUUAUUUCAUUCUAAGUUACGGUUAAAUUUCUAUGAAUUUUAGAAGUUUAGAGCAUUUUCUGGAAUUUCCUGUAUAAAAAUAAAUCUAGAAAAUACUUAUUGCGUCAGCAUUGCGUCACUCUGACGUCAGCAGUCAACGAGGCCGGUCCAGGUCAAACCUGACGUGUGGGGUCCACACAUCAGUGACACGGUUAACCAACAGGGUUAAUUAAAAUUAAACUAAACCUAAUCUAGUUUAGUUAAGGCCUGGGCCCACAUGUCAGAGGCUAACCUAACUAACUAAGUUAAUUACCGCUCAUUAAUCUAUCGCUUAAUUAAGCAGGGGCCUGGCCCACACGUCAAUGAGUCAGGGGGAAGUCAAACCCCGGUCAAACCCGCCGGACCUGGUCCACGGCUCGUCGCCGGCGACGACAGAGACAACGAGGCGGCUCGGGAAUGCUCUACAGGGCACCGUUUUACUCGUGGUUUGCGGCUACGGCUAGCUAGCAAUGCGGCGCAUCUAAUGGAGCGAAUGGGUGGAGCUGGGGUGGCCUGAGCCGACGGCGGCGAGCUCCAAGGCGGCGGCCGGAGUUCGGGCAAUGACGGGUUUGGCGCCACAGUGCAUGGGAGGAGGAGCUGGUGGGCGCUACGGGCUCUUGGGGGUGCACUGGGUGUAGUGACGCGCUCGGUUUGGACGGAGGUGAACUAAAAUGACGACAGCGACAAGUCUGGCACCAGUGAGGUUUCGGUCUCGACGGAAACGAGGGCUACGAUGAGCUAAUGGACAUGUGAGUAGGGGGGUCAGUAAAGGAGCUUACGGCGAGUGCAGAGGUGGCCUCGGCGUGCUCGGGGAAGCACUGGAGCGAGCGGUGCGGCGAGAGGGAUCUCCGGCGGCCGGUGACGAAGAUGAUCAAGAUGGCGUCAAUCCAGGGCCUCCGGCGAUGCGUGGCUAGACGGAGAGGACGAGGGAGGCGUGGCGAUGCUCGUGGACACGUCGGAGAGGCUCGGGGUUGGCUGCGGCUGCGGCUAUGGCGAACGGCGGCGGCGGUGGCGUUCGGUGGUGAGAGGGAGAGAGAGUAGAGGAGGGGGAGGAGCAUGGGGAGAGUGAGAGAGAGCCACAGGGGUUGCGUGUCGACGUCCAUGGCAUCCAGAGGGACGUCGGGAGGCGGUGGAAAGCUGGAGGUGGCCGAGGGGCGUGGGCGUGAAUGGCGGCCACACGCCUCUCAUCCUACUGGCGAGAGGUGGGAGAUGACUGGCAGAUGGGCCUGGUGGGCUGCUACAGUGCCAGGCCGGCCAGGUAAGCGCCAGGUAUUCUCUCUCUCUCUCUCUUUUGUUAAUGUUUUUCUAUUUUUCUGUAACUUCAGGGCUUUAUUAAAAAUGCCAGGGCAUUUCCAAAAAUCAUGAAACUAAUCAUGGCUACUGUUUAGAAUAUAUCCAACAGUAAACAUUUUAGUUUAUGAUUAUUUGAGCAUUUAAAAUAUUUUAUAGCACUUAAAUGCCCAAAUGCAAAUACUAUAGGAUUUAAUUUAGAAAUCCAGAAUGGCCUAGAAAUAUGUGCAUGACAUUUGGCAGAGGUUUUCACCUUUGACCGAAAUCAUGAACUUUUCUAAAGGGCAUUUGGGAUCACUAAAAAUAUUAUUUUUUUGAACCUAGUUGAAUUCAUUUGGUGCUAGGGUUUCAACAAUCCCCAUUUCAAGUUUCAUGAAAUUUAAACAUGAUGCAUGGAUGCAAAGUCACUAGUUACGAGCAAACUCUAGGGCUGUGAUAACUCACCCCCACUAAACAAGAAUCUCGUCUUGAGAUUCAAGACGUGAGGUAAGAAGACAAAGGGGGCACAAAACCAACACAAUCUUCAUGAUCCAGGUUGCACCUCAUAAGGUUGUUGAUUCGUUGCAUACAUUGAUCUUGACAUCCUCGCUUUUGAGAUCUUCAUCCAUGCGAUGACGACGGAAAGGAACUCUACUAGGAUUGAUCUUCUCAAAGACCGAAUUAUACAAUCUCAACUCGCGGAGUGAGAUGUUGAAACACCUUGAGUUGAGACACAAAACACAUCGAGAGGGAUGGAAGAACAAACGACGGGGUUUGAUUUGGUGGGAAACAAUUCCACGCUUAGAAAGAUGGUGGAUGGUGUCAAGGUGGCGAGGAAAUAAUUGCCAUGAUCCCGUAACGGGGCACCUUAGGGAAGGUGACUCGUAGGUUUGUUACCUUAAGUGGCAAAAGGAAUUAUUUUUGAUUCAGAGAUCAUUGAAACUCUUUAUACCAGCCUAAGGCAAUUCACAACAAUCGUUUGGCAGAGUACAAAGGGAUGGCAUACCCGGACUAGAAUGGAUGAUGUGGACUACCUUGUUGAAGACAACGUAAUGAAUGCUUUUUGCUUAUCAUCGGAGGUGGAGGGGACCCAUGGUAGGACCACUUCUAAAGAUGAUCCUGAACAACAAUUGCUGAGAAGGGCAGUCCAAGGAGGAUUGGCACAAGGCGGUGCAAGCUGGGAACGAAAUGCAAAUGUCGGGAAUGUUCCAACCAUCAUAUCUGCCUGAGAUUCAGAUUUGGUUGGUGUUAGGACAUUCCAGACUCAUCAAGUCUAGGAAGAAAAAUGAAAGUUUGCAACACAAAUCGAUGAGAUGACGUCGCGAGAUUCUCGGGAGAUAAACUACGAUAGCAAGCUCCAAAACAUGAGCUGGUUCUGCUAAACAUGUGUGAACACGCUGUCCCAGACAAACAUGACCACAUAGUAGUCUUAAUAUAAAACACUACCGAGUUCAGGUGGGGAACCAUCAUUGCGGAUAACGAAGUCCUUGCAUAAGUCAUGAUUCUUAAGAAGGAGCUUCUUCUCCCUGAACAAAUCAAUCAGUGGCUUGGUGUGCUAGGGAUACGUAAGCAAUGAAGAUGAUCAGUCUAUCAGACCAUAGAAUACUUCGCACAUGCAUGACUGACUUGGGAUGAUCCCGGAGGGAACAAAACUAACUUUCUCAAAUUCACGGCGGCAACUUGCACCUAAUGCGCGUGAACUUGGAGAGAGUCACUUCUUACAUCCAAGCAUAUUCUUCAUGAACGAAACACGAAGAUAAUGCUUAUAUAGUUUCCAAUACUAGCUGAAGGUUCAACACGAAUCAUGGAAGAGAUAAAAAUGUUGCUGAUGGGCUCAACAACAAUUCAUCUAGGUUUCCAUAUAAGUGGAAUUCCACAAUUAUGUGAACAAGGCGAUAGCAUCGGUCAGACCAAAGGAUAUAACGGUGUAUGCCCGAGGAAACAACCACGGGUAAGACAACAUUACGAAUAUCGUUGGUUCUGAUUUGACUUGACAAUAGCCCAUGCUCAAAUCAGAGAUUGGUUACGAUAAUAGAUCCAACAACUGAUCACAGGGACCAAUCGAUGAAGAUAUCAUCUUUCUUCAACAUACAUACAAGAUAUCACUUAACAUGAACUAAGUCGGACAAGCUUUUAUCUUCCAACUCUCCAAGUUGAUGUAUAGCUUAACCAACUAGCUCAGGGGUAUCCAACACGGAUUCUUGGAGAAAGGGUGGUUUACAAGAAUAAACCAACUUGAUCAUGAACUCAACAUAGCGGUCAGGUGACGACCUAGUGAUACUUCCGAGAAGAUAAUCAGAAAAUCAGGAACCACCGGUAUGUUACUAAGCUCGAGAGAAAUCUUGCUUUUCAGGGCAAGACGAUAUGAUCAAAUGAGCAAGGGAUUGACAAAAUCCUAACUCAACGACCGAAGAGUGCACCGGAAAUAGGGACUAGAUAGCACAAUCAACCUUAGGGUGACGAUUCAAUAAUCAACACGCUAAGAAUGAGGUUAGCGUCCAUUUAACUACCAAGCAACGGAGUUGCUAGCAGUAUUGAUUUCACACACCAUGAUUCACUUGUCAGUAUUCCGGUUGCAACAACACGGAACCGAGGAGCGAAUGAUGAUGGCAAGAAGUAUCACUACUUCAAGAAUCCAUAAGGGAAGGUGCAAUUCUCAUGACGUUCCUGACAUAAAGUGGGUAAUACUUCAGGGUAGAACAGAACAAAAGCUGAAUUAGUAUUUGAUCUGCGAUUUACAACUGCUUUGACCCGAUCCUGGAUAUGGAUGAGGUACGGGAGUUUGUUUCUCCUAGUCAUUCUAGAAUAGAAUGGCUUGACAUACCACUAGAGUAAUAGGCAUCAAUGAACGAAUGCACGCAUACUCUUGACUAUCAAUUGAUAGAUGGGGUCGGAAUACAACUAAGGAGGGACAACCCAAACGAACUUACGAUCUUCUGAGUUGUGGAUGCACAUAUUAGUAUGUCGAGCAAAGAUCAACAUUUUUCUUCCGGAUAACCCAUGCGGAGAAGGUAGGACUGGCAGAUUCACAAUAUAGAAUCGAGAACGCAUCAAGAGCACUCUGGUUGUGAUCUUUCGGUUAAACGAGGAACUUCUGCCAUAAGUAGUUCAUGGUAUUUGGAAGAAGGAAAUACCACGGACCUCGAGGACUAAUGCAAAGGUUACUAAUUUCCUAAAGGAACUAGCAAACACUAUCAUCAUGAGUAAGUGGGGUGAAUCUCGGUUCAAGAACCCAGGAAUAGAAUACCUACUACUAAGUGGCAUCACGGGAUGCUUUCGAGAAUAAAGGCCAGAAUUAUCACACCGGGAACAAAUCAUGGCUAGAUUACUAGAUGAUCCCCUAGGACACCUAGGGUCAUAAUAAUAAUUCCAACAUAUAUGUCGAGGCAAUAGAAUACUUCAACUCAGCAAUUAGUGUGAUUAACCUGGCUCAAAGGAACAUCAAAACCAGAGGGAAAUGAUUUGCAAGUGCAUCAGAUUGUUUAGAAACCUGGGAUGACUCGGACAACAUAACGGCUGUAAAUGCUCAAAAGGAAUUUUGAGACAUUUUGCAAAGAGUUGCAUAGACACUCAACAAUAUCAUAUCAAGGUUCUGGGUCCAACUUAGCAACAUAAUAGGGUAGUAGAACUGAACUAGGCUUAUAAUCAUCAAACCAAUAAGGUACUACUGAUUAGUAACACGUGAACCUGAUAGAGAGAAAAGAUCCUAAUCCUUAACCCCCGGUGGAAGAAUGGACUGACUCAGAUCAGAAUGCCAUGAGGUAAAGAAGUAAAAAGAGCCUUACGUACCAUCCCACAAUCAAUUCCCCUACAUAUAACUAAAGCAUUUCUAGACUCAACAUCGACCAGUUUGGCUUGGUAAUCCUACAGGCAGUCAGGCUCUUAUACCAAAGCUGUCAGGUCCUGAACGAUGUGUACAGGGUUCCGUGACACCAAACGGGCGCCCGGUAUACCCGGCCACGUGCCUACCGCAUCACAGCCCACCCCUCCGGUCAGCGUUGCGCACGGCCUCCAGCAUACUACAAACACCAGAAACUACUUGCAACUCCUGGACAGAGGACAAGGGUGAUUAAGAAGUCGAGCGGGGUCAUAUUUCAGGGCCCAAUGCAUGGUAGUAGCUGAAUCAUGGAUCACAAACACAUAACUCAGUUCCUGAGGGCGGCUUCAAUGAGACAACCCACCAUGUACUCCUACAUGGACUCUCACCGCUACCUUUACCAAAUCGUGUUCACACACUUAGCUCACACUCAGUAGAAUAUGUUCACGCACCUCUGAUUCAUCCCCGGUGAAUCCGACUUAACUCAACUCUAAGCAAUAGCAGGCAUGACAAACAAACAUGAAUGAGUAGGCACAACAGGGCUCAAACAACUCCUACUCAUGCUAGUGGGUUUCAUCAAUUUACUAUGGCAAUGACAGGUCAUGCAGAGGAUAAAGGGGUUCAGCUACCGCAGCAAGUAAUAGAUGAAUCGUUGUUGUCCUAAUGCAGUGAAAGAGAACAGGAGCGAUAGAGUAGCAUUGUAUCGGAAUGAACAAGGGGGUUUUGCUUGCCUAGCACUUCUGAAGAUAGUAUACUUCUUCAUCGGUGUCAUCGAUCACAACAUCGGUACAACGUCUACCGAGGGGGAACAACACCGGCAAACAGAGAAGCAACAUGAUCAAUGCAAUGCACAAUAUGAUGCAUGCUAUGACAUGGCAAUAUGAAUGUGUUUUGGGCUAAUGCAAGCUAGAACAGAUUGAGAUGAGUCCAUUUGAACCAAAGAUUCAAAUGCAAACCCAUUUUAAGAGGUCAUAAUAGUGUAUUAACUUGUUUCACCUAAACAGCAAGGUUAAUGUGUUCUAACAUGCAUGAAACCAGUGCAGAUGGAUAGAUUGGAUUUGUUUGAUCAUUUUUCAUAUAUAAAUUAUUUCAUUCUGAGUUACGGUUAAAUUUCUAUGAAUUUUAGAAGUUUAGAGCAUUUUCUGGAAUUUCCUGUAUAAAAAUAAAUCCAGAAAAUACUUAUUGCGUCAGCAUUGCAUCGCUCUGACGUCAACAGUGAACGAGGCCAGUCCAGGUCAAACCUGACGUGUGGGGUCCACACGUCAGUGACACGGUUAACCAACAGGGUUAAUUAAAAUUAAACUAAACCUAAUCUAGUUUAGUUAAGGCCUGGGCCAACAUGUCAGAGGCUAACCUAACUAAGUUAAUUACAGCUAAUUAAUCUAUCGCUUAAUUAAGCAGGGGCCUGGCCCACACGUCAGUGAGUCAGGGGGAAGUCAAACCCCGGUCAAACGGGGUCAAACCCGCCGGACCUGGUCCACGGCUCAUCGCCGGCGACGACAGAGACGAUGGGGCGGCUCGUGAAUGCUCUACAGGGCACCGUUUUACUCAUGGUUUGUGGCUACGGCUAGCUAGCAAUGCGGCGCAUCUAAUUGAGCGAACGGGAGGAGCUAGGGUGUCCUGAGCCGACGGCGGCGAGCUCCAAGGCGGCGGCCGGAGUUCGGGCAACGACGGGUUCGGUGCCAUAGUGCAUGGGAGGAGGAGCCGGUGGGCGCUACGGGCUCCUGGGGGUGCACUGGGUGUAGUGACGCGCUCGGUUUGGACGGAGGCGAACUAAAAUGACGACGGCAACAAGUCCGGCGCCGGUGAGGUUUCGGUCUCGACGGAAACGAGGGCUACGAUGAGCUAAUGGACAUGUGAGUAGGGGGGUUAGUAGAGGAGCUUACGACGAGUGCAUAGGUGGCCUAGGCGUGCUCGGGGAAGCACCGGAGCGAGCGGUGCAGCGAGAGGGAUCUCCGGCAGCCGGCGACGAAGAUGAUGAAGAUGGCGUCGAUCCAGGGCCUCCGGCGAUGCGUUGCUGUGCGGAGAGGACUAGGGAGGCGUGGCGAUGCUCGUGGACACGUCGGAGAGGCUCGGAGUUGGCUGCGGCUGCGGCUAUGGCGAACGGCGGCGGCGGUGGCGUUCGGUGGUGAGAGGGAGAGAGAGUAGAGGAGGGGGAGGAGCAUGGGGAGAGUGAGAGAGAGCCACAGGGGUUGCGUGUCGACGUCCAGGGCAUCCAGAGCGACGUCGGGAGGCGGUGGAAAGCUGGAGGUGGCCGAGGCGCGUGGGCGUGAAUGGCGGCCACACGCCUCUCGUCCUACUGGCGAGAGGUGGGAGAUGACUGGCAGAUGGGCCUGGUGGGCUGCUACAGUGCCAGGCCGGCCAGGUAAGCGCCAGAUAUUCUCUCUCUCUCUUUUGUUAAUGUUUUUUUAUUUUUCUGUAACUUCAGGGCUUUAUUAAGAAUGCCAGGGCAUUUCCAAAAAUCAUGAAACUAAUCAUGGCUACUGUUUAGAAUAUAUCCAACAGUAAACAUUUUAGUUUAUGAUUAUUUGAGCAUUUAAAAUAUUUUAUAGCACUUAAAUGCCCAAAUGCAAAUACUAUAGGAUUUAAUUUAGAAAUCCAGAAUGGCCUAGAAAUAUGUGCAUGACAUUUGGCAGAGGUUUUCACCGUUGACAGAAAUCAUGAAAUUUUCUAAAGGGCAUUUGGGAUCACUGAAAAUAUAUAUUUUUUGAACCUAGUUGAAUUCAUUUGGUGCUAGGGUUUCAACAAUCCCCAUUUCAAGUUUCAUGAAAUUUAAACAUGAUGCAUGGAUGCAAAGCCACUAGUUACAAGCAAACUCUGGGGCUAUGACAAAAGCACUCCUACGGUAUCGGUAUCCGGGAGUUACACGAUCUCAUGGUCUAAGGAGAAGAUACUUGACACUGGAAAAGCUCUAGCAAACGAACUACACGAUCUUGUGCUAUGCUUAGGAUUGGGUCUUGUCCAUCACAUCAUUUUCCUAAUGAUGUGAUCCCGUUAUCAACGACAUCUAAUGUCCAUAGUCAGGAAACCAUGACUAUCUGUUGAUCAACGAGCUAGUCAACUAGAGGCUCACUAGGGACAUAUUAUGGUCUAUGUAUUCACACGUGUAUUACGAUUUCCGGAUAAUACAAUUAUAGCAUGAAUAAAGACAAUUAUCAUGAACAAGGAAAUAUAAUAAUAAUCCUUUUAUUAUUGCCUCUAGGGCAUAUUUCCAACAACAUAUUCUACGAAGAUCUUUAUCGGUCAAACCACAUAACAACAUAGGUUCUUCCCUUUGUCAUCGGUAUGUUACUUGCCUGAGAUUCGAUCGUCGGUAUCUCAAUACCUAGUUCAAUCUCGUUACCGGCAAGUAUGUUUACUCAUUCCAUAAUGCAUGAUCCCGCAACUAACUCAUUAGUCACAUUGCUUGCAAGGCUUAUAGUGAUGUGCAUUACCGAGAGGGCCCAGUGAUACCUCUCCGACAAUCGGAGUGACAAAUCCUAACCUCGAUCUAUGCCAACUCAACAAGUACCAUCGGAGACACCUGUAGAGCACCUUUAUAAUCCCCCAGUUACGUUGUGACGUUUGGUAGCACACAAAGUGUUCCUCUGGUAUUUGGGAGUUGCAUAAUCUCAUAGUCAUAGGAACACGUAUAAGUCAUGAAGAAAGCAAUAGCAACAAACUAAACGAUCAAGUGCUAAGCUAACGAAAUGGGUCAAGUCAAUCACAUCAUUCUCUAAUGAUGUGAUCCCGUUAAUCAAAUGACAACUGUCUAUGGUUAGGAAACACAACCAUCUUUGAUUCAACGAGCUAGUCAAGUAGAGGCAUACUAGUGACACUUUGUUUGUCUAUGUAUUCACACAUGUACUAAGUUUCCGGUUAGUACUAUUCUAGCAUGAAUAAUAAACAUUUAUCAUGAUAUAUGGAAAUAUAAAUAACAACUUUAUUAUUGCCUCUAGGGCAUAUUUCCUUCAAAAUUUAGAGAUGACAAACAAAGCUUAAGUAGCAUCUGUUCUACUUGAUUGUAGAAAUUUCUUUUACCUGUAGAAUAACUCGGUUGUUAUUUCUUUAAACAUGAAGUGUGAUAUUAACUUAUCUCAAUCUAGGAACACAAAGCAAAUAUUACAUGUGCUUCUAUGGACUCCAAGCAGAUGAGAAAUCAUUUUGUCUAGAAGUUCCUUAGAAGGAUAUAAUAGUUUUGACCUAAACAAAUUUACUAUUGUACUCGUGUCUUACAAAGUUAAAGCUGAAAAUCAACAUAACCAUUGGACCCUUUGAAAGACAAGUGUAGGAAAUAAAUAGUAGGAUAUAAAUUUGAGCAGAAUGUUUGAUCAAAUACUGAACAAAUAACCCAGCAAACUACUAAAACUCGUCUAUUCUACCUUAUAUGAACUGUCACGAUGAUAAAGCUAUGAUUUUUUUUGGCAAAUAAGUAUCCUAGAACUAAUACAAGUUCAAACAAAUCAGCCACAGAUCCCCGAGCCCAUCCAACCAGAUAGCUGAAACUGAAAGAAGCAUUAGCUCGAUUAGAGCACCUACAGCGGAACUUGACAAAUUUGACCCCUGAAACGCCCGCGGACACGCGUGUUAGUAGACAUAAACCAAUCUUUAAGCAGAGCACGUCCGGCAGUCGGAUGCUCCCCAAAGUGUUGGUCCAGUCGCCGGCAAGGUAGAGUAGGGCAUGGGAUACAAGGCGGCUCACGGGACUCGAGGCGCCACCGUCCCCCAUUCCCAACUCUUCUCAGUCGGAACCCGGACAGUGCCGGUGGACGUCAGAUCGAUGAUGGAUCCUUCCUGGGACGAGCCAGCAACAUCCACCACCACGUGGUUGUGCAGCCCGAACUAGUGCACAAUAUGGGGAGCCGGAAAAUACGACUCCGCCUCCGCAACGCCCACCACCGCGAGGGCUGUCGCUGCCUCCCGCACCCGCUGCAUUGCAUGGCAGGAGCGCCGAACUAUGUUUUGCAUCGGGCGACGCCCAUGGUGCGUCCAUGGCCUCAGUGCGCCAAUGGAGGGGCUGCGCGUCCGCCACCCAUUCAAACGCCAGAUGGACCGCACCACCUUUGUGUUGGAAAUAUGCCCUAGAGGAAAUAAUAAAAGGAUUAUUAUUGUAUUUCCUUGUUCAUGAUAAUUAUCUUUAUUCAUGCUAUAAUUGUAUUAUCCAGAAAUCGUAAUAGACGUGUGAAUACAUAGACCAUAAUAUGUCCCUAGUGAGCCUCUAGUUGACUAGCUCGUUGAUCAACAGAUAGUCAUGGUUUCCUGACUAUGGACAUUAGAUGUCGUUGAUAAUGGGAUCACAUCAUUAAGAUAAUGAUGUGAUGGACAAGACCCAAUCCUAAGCAUAGCACAAGAUCGUGUAGUUCGUUUGCUAGAGCUUUUCCAAUGUCAAGUAUCUUCUCCUUAGACCAUGAGAUCGUGUAACUCCCGGAUACCGUAGGAGUCCUUUGGGUGUACCAAACGUCACAACGUAACUGGGUGACUAUAAAGGUGCACUACAGGUAUCUCCGAAAGUGUUUGUUGGGUUGACACCGAUCGAGACUGGGAUUUGUCACUCCGUAUGACGGAGAGGUAUCGCUGGGCCCACUCGGUAGUGCAUCAUCAUAAUGAGCUCAAAGUGACCAAGUGUCUGGUCACGGGAUCAUGCAUUACGGUACGAGUAAAGUGAAUUGCCGGUAACGAGAUUGAACGAGGUAUUGGGAUACCGACGAUCGAAUCUCGGGCAAUUAAAAUACCGAUUGACAAAGGGAAUUGAAUACGUGGUUGCUUGAAUCCUCGACAUCGUGGUUCAUCCGAUGAGAUCAUCGAGGAGCAUGUGGGAGCCAACAUGGGUAUCCAGAUCCCGCCGUUGGUUAUUGACUGGAGAGCCGUCUCAGUCAUGUCUACGUGUCUCCCGAAUCCGUAGGGUCUACACACUUAAGGUUCGGUGACGCUAGGGUUGUAGAGAUAUGAGUAUGCAGCAAACCGAAAGUUGUUCGGAGUCCCGGAUGAGAUCCCGGACAUCACGAGGAGUUCCGAAUGGUCCGGAGAUAAAGAAUUAUAUAUAGGAAGUGCAUUUUCAGCGAUCGGGAGAGUUUCGGGGGUCACCGGUAUUGUACCGGGACCACCGGAAGGGUCCCGGGGGUCCACUGGGUGGGGCCACCUAUCCCGGAGGGCCCCGUGGGCUGAAGUGGGGAGGGGACCAGCCCAUAGUGGGCUGGUGCGACCCCCUUGCCCCACCUACGCCUAGGGUUGGAAACCCUAGGGUGGGGGGCGCCUCCACUUGCCUUGGGGGGCACUCCACCCCCCUGGCCGCCGCCCCCUUGGGAGAUCCCAUCUCCAGGGCCGGCGCCCCCCCAGGGGGCCUAUAUAAAGGAGGGGGAGGGGAGGGCAGCCGCACCCUGAAGUCUUGGCGCCUCCCUCCCCCCUUGCUACACCUCCUCCUCCCGUAGUCGCUUGGCGAAGCCCUGCCGGAACUCUGCUGUAUCCACCACCACGCCGUCGUGCUGCUGGAUCUUCAUCAACCUCUCCUUCCCCCUUGCUGGAUCAAGAAGGAGGAGACGUCACGCUGACCGUACGUGCGUUGAACGCGGAGGUGCCGUCCGUUCGACGCUAGGAUCUCUGGUGAUUUGGAUCACGACGAGUACGACUCCCUCAACCCCGUUCUCUUGAACGCUUCCGCUCGCGAUCUACAAGGGUAUGUAGAUGCACUCCCCUCUCUCGUUGCUAGAUGAACUCAUAGAUUGAUCUUGGUGAACGUAGGAAAUUUUUUAUUUUAUGCAACGUUCCCCAACAGUGGCAUCAUGAGCUAGGUCUAUGCGUAGUUCUCUAUUGCACGAGUAGAACACAAAUCUGUUGUGGGCGUAGAUGUUGUCAACUUUCUUGCCACUACUAGUCUUAUUUUGCUUCAGCGGUAUUGUGGGAUGAAGUGGCCCGGACCGACCUUACACGUACGCUUACGUGACACAGGUUCCACCGACUGACAUGCACUAGUUGCAUAAGGUGGCUAGCGGGUGUCUGUCUCUCCCACUUUAGUUGGAGCGGAUUCGAUGAAAAGGGUCCUUAUGAAGGGUAAAUAGAAGUUGACAACUCACGUUGUGGCUUUUUUGUUGGUAAGAAAACAUUCUUGCUAGAACCCUAUUGCAGCCACGUAAAAGAUGCAACAACAAUUAGAGGACGUCUAACUUGUUUUUGAAGCAAUUGCCUUGUGAUGUGAUAUGGCCAAAAGUUGUGAUGAAUGAUGAAUGAUAUAUUGUGAUGUAUGAGAUCAUGUUCUUGUAAUAGGAAUCACGACUUGCAUGUCGAUGAGUAUGAAAACCGGCAGGAGCCAUAGGAGUGGUCUUAAUUAUUGUAUGACCUGCGUGUCAAUGAUUUAACGCCAUGUAAUUACUUUACUUUAUUGCUAAACCGUUAGCCAUAGUAGUAGAAGUAAUAGUUGGCGAGCAACUUCAUGGAGGCACGAUGAUGGAGAUCAUGAUGAUGGAGAUCAUGGUGUCAUGCCGGUGACAAAGAUGAUCAUGGAGCCCCGAAGAUGGAGAUCAAAGGAGCUAUAUGAUAUUGGCCAUAUCAUGUCACUACUAUAUAAUUGCAUGUGAUGUUUAUUAUGUUUAUGCAUCUUCUUUACUUAGAACGACUGUAGUAAAUAAGAUGAUCCCUUAUAAUAAUUUCAAGAAAGUGUUCUCCCUAACUGUGCGUCGUUGCUAAAGUUCGUCGUUUCGAAGCACCACGUGAUGAUCGGGUGUGAUAGAUUCCUACGUUCACAUACAACGGGUGUAAGACAGUUUUACACAUGCAAAACACUUAGGUUAAACUUGACGAGCCUAGCAUGUAUAUACAUGGCCUCAGAACACAGAGACCGAAAGGUCGAACAUGAGUCAUAUGGAAGAUACGAUCAACAUGGAGAUGUUCACCAAUGAUGACUAGUCCGUCUCACGUGAUGAUCGGACACGUCCUAGUCGACUCGGAUCGUGUAACACUUAGAUGACUAGAGGGAUGUCAAAUCUGAGUGGGAGUUCACUAAAUUAGAUGAACUUAAUUAUCAUGAACUUAGUCUAAAAUCUUUGCAAAAAUGUCUUGUAGAUCAAAUGGCCAACGCUCAUGUCAACAUGAACUUCAACGAGUUCCUAGAGAAAACCAAGCUGAAAGAUGAUGGCAGCAACUAUAUGGACUGGGUCCAGAACCUGAGGAUCAUCCUCAUAGCUUCCAAGAAAGCAUAUGUCCUAGAAGGACCACUAGGUGAUGCACCCAUCCCAGAGAACCAAGAUGUUAUGAACGCUUGGCAGUCACGUGCUGAUGAUUACUCCCUCGUUCAGUGCGGCAUGCUUUACAGCUUAGAACCGGGUCUCCAAAAGCGUUUUGAGAAACACGGAGCAUAUGAAAUGUUCGAGGAGCUGAAAAUGGUUUUCCAAGCUCAUGCCCGGGUCGAGAGAUAUGAAGUCUCCGACAUGUUCUAUAGUUGUAAGAUGGAGGAAAAUAGUUCUGUCAGUGAGCACAUACUCAAAAUGUCUGGGUUGCACAACUGCCUAACCCAGCUGGACAUCAACCUCCCGGACGAGGCGGUCAUUGACAGAAUCCUUCAGUCGCUCCCACCAAGCUACAAGAGAUUUGUGAUGAACUACAAUAUGCAGGGGAUGGUGAAAACUAUUCCUGAAGUAUUUUCAAUACUGAAGUCUGCAGAGGUAGAAAUCAAGAAAGAACAUCAAGUGUUGAUGGUCAAUAAAACCACCAAGUUCAAGAAGGGCAAGGGUAAGAAAAACUUCAAGACGGACGGCAAGGAUGUUGCCGCACCCGGUAGGCCAGUUGCCGGGAAGAAGUCAAAGAAUGGACCCAAGCCUGAGACUGAGUGCUUUUAUUGCAAAAGGAAGGGUCACUGGAAGCGGAACUGCCCCAAAUAGUUAGCGGACAAGAAGGCCGGCAACACUAAAGGUAUAUGUGAUAUACAUGUAAUUGAUGUGUACCUUACCAGUACUCGUAGUAACUCCUGGGUAUUUGAUACCGGUGCCGUUGCUCAUAUUUGUAACUCACAGUAGGAGCUGCGGAAUAAGCGGAGACUGGCGAAGGACGAGGUGACGAUGCGCGUCGGGAAUGGUUCCAAGGUCGAUGUGAUUGCCGUCGGCACGCUGCCUCUACAUUUACCCACGGGAUUAGUUUUAAACCUCAAUAAUUGUUAUUUAGUGCCAAGUUUGAGCAUGAACAUUGUAUCUGGAUCUCGUUUAAUACGAGAUGGCUACUCAUUUAAAUCCGAGAAUAAUGGUUGUUCUAUUUAUAUGAGAGAUAUGUUUUAUGGUCAUGCCCCGAUGGUCAAUGGUUUAUUCUUAAUGAAUCUCGAACGUAAUGUUACACAUAUUCAUAGUGUGAAUACCAAAAGAUGUAAAGUUGAUAACGAUAGUCCCACAUACUUGUGGCACUGCCGCCUUGGUCAUAUUGGUGUCAAGCGCAUGAAGAAGCUCCAUGAUGAUGGACUUUUAGAGUCUGUCGAUUAUGAAUCAUUUGACACAUGCGAACCAUGCCUCAUGGGCAAAAUGACCAAGACUCCGUUCUCCGGAACAAUGGAGCGAGCAACCAACUUAUUGGAAAUCAUACAUACUGAUGUGUGUGGUCCAAUGAGCGUUGAGGCUCGCGGAGGAUAUCAUUAUGUUCUCACUCUCACUGAUGACUUGAGUAGAUAUGGGUAUGUCUACUUGAUGAAACACAAGUCUGAGACCUUUGAAAAGUUCAAGGAAUUUCAGAAUGAGGUAGAGAAUCAACAUGACCGAAAGAUAAAGUUCCUACGAUCAGAUCGUGGAGGAGAAUAUUUAAGUCACGAAUUUGGUACGCACUUAAGGAAAUGUGGAAUCAUUCCACAACUCACGCCGCCUGGAACACCUCAGCGUAACGGUGUGUCCGAAUGUCGUAAUCGCACUCUAUUGGAUAUGGUGCGAUCUAUGAUGUCUCCUACCGAUUUACUGCUAUCAUUUUGGGGAUACGCUCUAGAGACAGCUACAUUCACUUUAAACAGGGCUCCGUCUAAAUCCGUUGAGACGACACCGUAUGAAUUAUGGUUUGGGAAGAAACCUAAGCUAUCGUCUCUAAAAGUUUGGGGAUGCGAUGCUUAUGUCAAGAAACUUCAACCUGAAAAGCUCGAACCCAAGUCGGAAAAAUGCGUCUUCAUAGGAUACCCUAAGGAAACCAUUGGGUAUACCUUCUACUUAAGAUCCGAGGGCAAGAUCUUUGUAGCCAAGAACGGAUCCUUUCUGGAAAAAGAGUUUCUCUCGAAAGGAGUAAGUGGGAGGAAAGUAGAACUCGAUGAAGUAGUACCUCUUGAACCGGAAAGUAGUGGAGCUCAGGAAAAUGUUCCUGUGGUGCCUACACCGACUAGAGAGGAAAUUAAUGAUGAUGAUCACAGUACUUUGGAUCAAGUUGCUACUGAACUUCGUAGGUCCACAGGGACACAUUCCAAACCAGAGUGGUAUGGCAACCCUGUCCUGGAAAUCAUGUUUUUAGACAACGGUGAACCUUCGAACUAUGAAGAAGCGAUGGCGGGCCCAGAUUCCAACAAAUGGCUUGAAGGCAUGCAAUCCGAGAUAGAAUCCAUGUAUGAAAACAAAGUAUGGACUUUGACAGACUUGCCCGAUGAUCAGCGAGCGAUAGGAAACAAAUGGAUCUUUAAGAAGAAGACAGACGCGGAUGGUAAUGUUACCAUCUAUAAAGCUCGACUUGUCGCUAAGGGUUAUCGGCAAGUUCAAGGGGUUGACUACGAUGAAACUUUCUCUCCCGUAGCAAAGCUGAAGUCCGUCUGAAUCAUGUUAGCAAUUGUCGCAUACUAUGAUUAUGAGUUAUGGAAGAUGGACGACAAAACGGCAUUCCUUAACGGGCAUCUUAAGGAAGAACUGUAUAUGAUGCAGCCGGAGGGUUUUGUCGAUCCUAAGAAUGAUAAUAAGGUAUGCAAGCUCCAGCAAUCCAUUUAUGGGCUGGUGCAAGCAUCUCGGAGUUGGAACAUUCGCUUUGAUGAGAUUUUCAAAGCGUUUGGGUUUAUGAAGACUUAUGGAGAAGCCUGCGUUUACAAGAAAGUGAGUGGGAGCUCUGUAGCAUUUCUCAUAUUAUAUGUAGAUGACAUACUUUUGAUGGGAAAUGAUAUAAAACUUUUGGACAGCAUUAAGGCCUACUUGAAUAAGUGUUUUUCAAUGAAGGACCUUGGAGAAGCUGCUUACAUAUUAGGCAUCAAGAUCUAUAGGGAUAGAUCGAGACGCCUCAUAGGUCUUUCACAAAGCACAUACCUUAAUAAAAUAUUGAAGAAGUUUAAAAUGGAUCAGUCCAAGAAAGGGUUCUUGCCUGUAUUGCAAGGUGUGAAGUUGAGCUUGGCUCAAUGCCCGACCACGGCAGAAGAUAAAGAAGAGAUGAGUGUCAUCCCCUAUGCCUCAACCAUAGGAUCUAUUAUGUAUGCCAUGUUGUGCACCAGACCUGAUGUAAACCUUGCCGUAAGUUUGGUAGGAAGGUACCAAAGUAAUCCCGGCAAGGAACACUGGACAGCGGUCAAGAAUAUCCCGAAGUACCACAAAAGGACAAAGGACAUGUUUCUCGUUUAUGGAGGUGACAAAGAGCUCGUCGUAAAGGGUUACGUCGAUGCUAGCUUCGACACAGAUCUGGAUGACUCUAAGUCACAAACCGGAUACGUGUAUAUGUUGAAUCGUGGAGCAGUAAGCUGGUGCAGUUGCAAGCAGAGCGUCGUGGCGGGAUCUACAUGUGAAGCGGAGUACAUGGCAGCCUCGGAGGUAGCGCAUGAAGCAAUAUGGAUGAAGGAGUUCAUCACCGACCUAGGAGUCAUACCCAAUGCGUCGGGGCCAAUCACUCUCUUCUGUGACAACACUGGAGCUAUUGCCCUUGCCAAGGAGCCCAGGUUUCACAAGAAGACCAGGCACAUCAAGCGUCGUUUCAACUCCAUUCGUGAAAAUGUUCAAGAUGGAUACAUAGAUAUUUGCAAAGUACAUACGGAUCUGAAUAUCGCAGAUCCGUUGACUAAACCUCUUCUGCGAGCAAAACAUGAUCAACACCAGAACUCUAUGGGUGUUCGAUUCAUCACAAUGUAACUAGAUUAUUGACUAUAGUGCAAGUGGGAGACUGUUGGAAAUAUGCCCUAGAGGCAAUAAUAAAAGGAUUAUUAUUAUAUUUCCUUGUUCAUGAUAAUUGUCUUUAUUCAUGCUAUAAUUGUAUUAUCCGGAAAUCGUAAUACACGUGUGAAUACAUAGACCAUAAUAUGUCCCUAGUGAGCCUCUACUUGACUAGCUCGUUGAUCAACAUAUAGUCAUGGUUUCCUGACUAUGGACAUUAGAUGUCGUUGAUAAUGGGAUCACAUCAUUAGGAGAAUGAUGUGAUGGACAAGACCCAAUCCUAAGCAUAGCACAAGAUCGUGUAGUUCGUUUGCUAGAGCUUUUCCAAUGUCAAGUAUCUUCUCCUUAGACCAUGAGAUCGUGUAACUCCCGGAUACCGUAGGAGUGCUUUGGGUGUACCAAACGUCACAACGUAACUGGGUGACUAUAAAGGUGCACUACAGGUAUCUCCGAAAGUGUAUGUUGGGUUGACACGGAUCGAGACUGGGAUUUGUCACUCCGUAUGACGUAGAGGUAUCUCUGGGUCCACUCGGUAGUGCAUCAUCAUAAUGAGCUCAAAGUGACCAAGUGUCUGGUCACGGGAUCAUGCAUUACGGUACGAGUAAAGCGACUUGCCGGUAAAGAGAUUGAACAAGGAAUUGGGAUACCGAUGAUCGAAUCUCGGGCAAGUAAAAUACCGAUUGACAAAGGGAAUUGAAUACGGGGUUGCCUGAAUCCUCGACAUCGUGGUUCAUCCGAUGAGAUCAUCGAGGAGCAUGUGGGAGCCAACAUGGGUAUCUAGAUCCCGCUGUUGGUUAUUGACCGGAGAGCCAUCUCGGUCAUGUCUACGUGUCUCCCGAACCCGUAGGGUCUACACACUUAAGGUUCGGUGACGCUAGGGUUGUAUAGAUAUGAGUAUGCAGCAAACUGAAAGUUGUUCGGAGUCCCGGAUGAGAUCCCGGACGUCACGAGGGGUUCCGGAAUGGUCCGGAGAUAAAGAAUUAUAUAUAGGAAGUGCAGUUUCGGCCAUCGGGAGAGUUUCGGGGGUCACCGGUAUUGUACCGGGACCACCGGAAGGGUCCCUGGGGUCCACCGGGUGGGGCCACCAAUCCCGGAGGGCCCCGUGGGCUGAAGUGGGGAGGGGACCAGCCCCUGGUGGGCUGGUGCGCCCCCCUUGGGCCCCCCCUCCCGCGCCUAGGGUUGGAAACCCUAGGGUGGGGGGGGCGCCUCCACUUGCCUUGGAGGGCACUCCACCCCCUGGCCGCCGUCCCCUUGGGAGAUCCCAUCUCUAGGGCCGGCUCCCCCCCAGGGGUCCUAUAUAAAGGAGGGGGAGGGGAGGGCAGCCGCACCCUGAAGUCUUGGCGCCUCCCUCCCCCCUUGCUACACCUCCUCCUCCCGUAGUCGCUUGGCGAAGCCCUGCCGGAACUCUGCUGCAUCCACCACCACGUCGUCGUGCUGCUGGAUCUUCAUCAACCUCUCCUCCCCCCUUGCUGGAUCAAGAAGGAGGAGACGUCACACUGACCGUACGUGUGUUGAACGCGGAGGUGCCGUCCGUUCGGCGCUAGGAUCUCCGGUGAUUUGGAUCAUGACGAGUACGACUCCCUCAACCCCAUUCUCUUAAACGCUUCCGCUCGCGAUCUACAAGGGUAUGUAGAUGCACUCCCCUCUCUUGUUGCUAGAUGAACUCAUAGAUUGAUCUUGGUGAACGUAGGAAAUUUUUAUUUUAUGCAACGUUCCCCAACACUUUGGUGAGGCGGUGAUGGUACACCUAGCGCCGGAUCCAUGCAUCAUUUGGGCGGACGCAUUGGAUUCCCCGCGGAAGGAGUUCGAGUGUUGCCGUUGCCAUCGGGCAGCCUCCUCCCGGGAGCGGUGGAGCGCAAGCUGGAUGGCCAGCUCCUCCUAGGAGCCGCGUGGGAUGAGUUCGGGGUUGACGGAUCUGGAGGUGUAACACUGGGAUCCGCCUCCUGCCAUGCCGAAGAAGGCCAUAAGAUCGUCGAACGGGAGCUUGGGUGGCGGCAUAGAGUGGAGUAAAGUGGCUAGGGUUUGGUCCGGCAAGCGGAUGGGGAGGAAUAUAUGUGGGGUCGGGUGGGCCAGCGUGGACCGGGACCGACAUGGCGGACGCGCCUGGGCGCCGCAUAUUCUUCCUAGAUUUGGGCUGGAUAUCAGGGGUGCUGGUUAGCUUGGGCGUUUGAGGCCCAUCUGGAUAGUUUUUCUGUGACCUGACCGUUCGUCCGGGCGUUUGAGGUGGGUUUGGGACGCCCAGGUGUAAAUGCUCUUAGACCAUGUAGUACCUUGAGGAGGAUGGUGGGUCCAUGGAACAACUACAGCCUCUCCAUUUUGUUUGGGCGCAGGGCGAUAACGGAGUUAUCUCUACUCCUAAAGAGGGAGUCGUUAGUCUCCCUUCCACGGUUUUUUUGUCUUACCUCCCAUCUUUGUUUCAUUUUUUCCGUCUCUUUUUCCACCACCGUCUGUUUUUUCUCAUCUCCACCUGGCAUGUAACGAAAAAAAAUCUGUUUCAUAGGUCGAUUGUCAAGGUCCGAGAGCCGCCGCCACCUUCAUUGCGGACCUCUAGGUCGCCGUCCGGACACACCGCCGAGGUCCGCAAUCACCGACGUUGAGGUCCGAGAGGAGCUGCCGCCCCCUUCAUUCUGGGCCUGGACGCUUCAUGGUCCUCCUACCUCUCCCUUUCCUCUCCCCUUCUCUCCCGCUUCCAUCCUCACUCGCCGCCCCUGCCUCUCNNNNNNNNNNNNNNNNNNNNNNNNNNNNNNNNNNNNNNNNNNNNNNNNNNNNNNNNNNNNNNNNNNNNNNNNNNNNNNNNNNNNNNNNNNNNNNNNNNNNNNNNNNNNNNNNNNNNNNNNNNNNNNNNNNNNNNNNNNNNNNNNNNNNNNNNNNNNNNNNNNNNNNNNNNNNNNNNNNNNNNNNNNNNNNNNNNNNNNNNNNNNNNNNNNNNNNNNNNNNNNNNNNNNNNNNNNNNNNNNNNNNNNNNNNNNNNNNNNNNNNNNNNNNNNNNNNNNNNNNNNNNNNNNNNNNNNNNNNNNNNNNNNNNNNNNNNNNNNNNNNNNNNNNUCUCUCUCUCUCUCUCUCUCUCUCUUGUUUCCUACCCCACUGGUUCUACAAUGCUGGUCGUCGCCUUGGGUUGGCGAACCUAGCUACUGUGGGUUGGGAUUCAAAUGCCACAUCAUCUUUGGGACGCGGCCGUGACGGCUUGGCCUGAUGCCUGCGAAGUAGGGCGAGCAGAGACAACAUGAGACUGCGCCGCUGUGCUGUUCGCCGUGACGCGCUGUCACGCUGUGUAGAUGGAGGAUGCGUGCCCAAGCCUUGUUGUGCCUGUCUUCCCGUGCGGUAGUCGGGAUCUGGACUGGAUCGGGGUUGAGUUCGACACCACCGAACCCCGGCUUCCAGGAGACCAGGCGCCUCCUCUCCUCAUCACCCGUCUCACCAGAGGCAUGUGCAGAAUUCCGUACACCAUCUGCGCAAACAUGGUGGUCGACGACGCUCUGGAUGUGGUCUACGUGAGGACUAGGUUCCAUCAUUAACAUGUACCCUGGCAAGGUAUGUGCUAUGGGAUGUAAACUCUCGAUUUUAUCUUCAUUUUAGUUGCCUUCAUCUCAUGCUUUGUUCGUUCCAUAGGCAUUUGUCAUGAAUCUAUUUUCAGGAGGGUGAUGUUAACGAUUUCAAAAACUUGAUAGCAGGGUAUGGCUAUAGUUAUUGGUCAUGCAUUAUCGCGAGGCUUGACAAGCAUACCAUAAAAUGGUUUUUAUUUAUGCUCUCGUAGGUUAAACCAAUCUCUGUCAUUAUGAAAUUGGCAUAGCUGAACAUGAUCAGGACUUCAGCAGGGCAGGGUCAUUACUUUGGAGUUUCAGCACUCAUAGUUGGUGAGUGCUUAUGUCCUAAAAUUUUGGAUGUGACUAAACAUAGGCUGGUAUGGCUAAUCUUUUUUGCUUUUCUGUCCUUGCUCUUCACGGAAUCUUCAGGUUUACGGAUUGAUAAUUGUGAUCUAUGUUUCAACCACUUCCCAAUGUUUUACUUGAUGAGAAGGUUCUAAUUUUAUUUUAUUUUAUUUCACUUGAUGAGAAGGGUCCAUGUUUCACCGACUUUGUACAAGUGUGUUUGCUUAGCUAGAUUUCUGCCCUUAUUUUCUAUUUGACAUCCCUCAAUCAUUUUCUGCAGAUUCACUUCGUUCGUAUUCUAUAUUGUUGUAAGUGCACCUAGGGAUAUUAUAGUAGUUCUUAUCUGCAGUUUACUACAACUGGUGACCACAUCUCCAUAUUAUUAUCUUUAAAAUGUACUUUCAAAAAGUAAACUAAUUAACGUUAACCUUCCGCUCUGUAGAAACCACAUAAUUUCAACUCAUUAAUCAUUUUUUAGCGGAAAGGCAGUAAUCAAUGAUGGCGAUUUAAACUGUACUCCUUAUAGUAUUGAUAUUCCCCAUGCACCGGUAUGUUCUCGUACAUCCGUGAAACUUCUGAGUCAAAAUGUUAUAUCCUUAUGUAUACAGUUCAUCAUUGGUUGUUACAGAAUUUCCCAGUGGGCACAACCUCAACCCACACCUCCCACCAGGAUCUUCUCUCUGCCGGAGCCAUCCUACCUGCAGCCAGCUCCCCCUCGUACGCCCUGAUCUCCACCUUGUGUGCUGGUCCAUUCAUCAUAGCUAGAAGGUAAUGACUAAUGAGCAUGUCAUCUCUGCCCCUCUCAAUUUCAUCCUUGUGUUGUUUAUUUUUCAGAGAAUGUGGUAUUAUGUAGCCCCUCUCUGUUGAUGAAUUGAAUGUAUAGAUUAUAUACUAGCAAAAGAGCCCGUGCGUUGCAACGGGAUAAUAAAACCGACGAAUUGUACUCGUGUGACUUGAGCUUUGGUUGGUUUCACACGCUUAUACUUCUUAGUUUUCUUGUAAAAUAAUAUGGCGGUAUUUAUACUAUUCAGGGUUGGUUAUCCAUCCGUCAGGUUAUUCAGGGCGUAAAUUUACGGAAAGAAGCAUAUUGUGACGGUGAAUGCGACGGAGUCAAUCCGUGCUUUAUUAUUUGGAAAAGAGAAAUAUGCCUAUGCAUUGCUACGGCUCUAGAAUAAACCUAUACAUGGUCAAAAUACAGGACAGCAACAUGUCUUCUUUUAGUUUUUUUCAAACCAUUAGAAAUAUGUUAGAUUUUACUUAAGUUUAGUUCCCUUAUUCCACCAUAAAGCAUUCCGGUUGAAAAGGAGAUGGCGUCUGUCAUUUACUUUCUAGAAAAACAUAGAGUCGAUAAACUUUCCUGUAUCUUCAGCCAUAGGUCCUUUACUCAUAUUUAAAAAAUUGUAAUAUUUAAUCCAAGCAAAAUUAUAUGAAUUACAGGAAAAAUUGUACUCAUGUGACUUGAGCUUUGGUUGGUUUCACACGCUCAUACUUCUUAGUUUUUUUGUAAAAUAAUACGGCGGUAUUUAUACUAUUCAGGGUUGGUUAUCCAUCCGUCAGGUUAUUCUUGAAGCUAGCUAGUAAUCACCAUGAGUUCAGUUGGCGUUCCAAGUAAUCACCAAGCCAAUCGACCGUGAGCAUCCGGACGUUAGCUGCGAAUGACAGACGGCUGGAUGGGCUAAUGAAGAUUAAACCUCAAUUUUGUACGCGGUAGUGCUGCAGACCUUCUGCAGUGAGACUUCGAUCAGAAGGACUUACCAGACAGGGGCACGGAGGAUUUAGAUAUCCUACUGCAGCUGCCGCUGCUCACCAAGGAGUUGCUCCCGUGCCGCUCGAAGGUCGCCAGCUCGGGGCAGAGCAGGAGCUUAAAGGCCAUGGACACGCCAGACCUGAAGGACGGCAGUGGCAAGGGUGGCGCAGGUGGGCGACGUUGCUCGCGCUCGGGGCGGACGCCGGCGGCGCUCGAUCUUGCCUAGAGCACGGAGGGGACAGGGGAGCAGGGGAAGAGGUAGGCAGUAAACCAGAUAGGAAUGGCACAUGUAUCGCAUCUGCCCUCGGCGGAGCUCCGCUCUGUCGUCAACAUCCGCGACGGACCCCACGAAGCCCAUCAUGUCGGCGUCCUUGAGGAACCGCCCCUGCUUGCCGCGGCCGACCGCAAUUUCGGAGAAAUUGGAGAUGGGGGAUCGUCCGCGGUUCGGCAACGGGUACGGGGAGGAGUCCGGGGCAAAGACUGUUCCGCUCGACCGGCCGGAGGAGCGCAGCCGCUCCGGUGGCCAGAGAUCGAGGGGGUGGCGGCGGUGUCCAACCCCCAACAGGCUGUGUUCUUUUUCUGACGGGACGAAAAAGGGGAAUCCCUUCUCUGGAACCGCUGUCGUUGCUCGACUGUGCUCCAAGCCGCCGCCGCCACCGCCGUCGCCUGAUUGCUCUCUCCCCGUCAACCCCCCCUCUCUCUCGAUCCAGCGACGCGUGUUUAGAUCGAAGCCCCCUGAAUUCCACGACCGAUCUGAUUCUAUCGAUCGAGGCAGCUCUGUUUCGAUUUGUAUAUGUACUUUUUAGGAGGAGUGUCCCGUGUUUGUUUCUGAUAGCCAUCUAUUUGUUUUAUGCUCAACAGGCCCAUUAGCCCUUGAUCUGGCCCAGGGAGUCUAGCGACCCAGGGAGUCUAGCGGGGAAGAGAGCGGGUGCGACCGAUUGGAUGCACACGACGUGGUUGGCCAUCUGAAUUAGUACCACCUUGAAUAUAUUUUAAAAUUAAAAUUGAAAACGUAAAAUCACGGAAAGAAGCGCAUUGUGACGGUGAAUCCGGAGACCCAAUCCAUGCUUUAUUAUUAGGGAGAGAUUACUAAAGAAAUCCGCCUUAAAAGGCGUUCCACUAAAAACGCAGUAGGAUCCUAUUUCAAGUUCCUUGCACUUAAACCGCAAAAGGGAAAGGCAAUUUUCCUAACUUUUCCCGUUAACGCAGAGCAGUCAGAUGAAUAACAGUAGGAUUGUUCAGUUUGUAUGCUCGUCCACUACUUCGGUUUAUUCAGGUUGCAUGAUACAGUAAUUUUGCAAAUGUGUCAGACUAUCUAUUUAGAUUAGCUAAUAGAAUUUAUUUCCACUAUGUGUUGUGCGGAGGAUAGAUCAGCAGGACUAAACAAUAUGUGUCUAACACCAUUUGCACAAUUCCCUUAAACUGCCCGCAGUAGCUGACCAAGUACCACCAAUGUUGUCAUCAGUCUUGAAGGGGAUUCAAAACCCGGUAGGAUCGCACACCGUAUGGCUUGGACAUCGGAAGAAGAUGCAAGAUUGGUAAUGAGAUUACUUGCCUCAGUGCUCAAUUUAUGAUCCUAUUCAUUUGAACUGAUUUACUUGUUUGUCUCAGCUAAUCUAUCCUCAAACGCAGACAACCAUUUGGUCGAAAACCUCAAAUGUUUCCAUCGAGAUAAUAACAAGAAGAACAUCAAGUACUGGGAUGACAUUGUUGUUACAACAAUAGUAAUAGGCCAAGUCACCGGAAGGGAGAUGCUCGUCGUGUAUGAUGGACAUGGUGGCUCGGAGGUGAGGUUAUCUUCUCUUGAAAAUCUUGACCUAGACAAAAGAAAUUAACCUUGAGGCCAUGGGAAGCAGGAAAGCGAAGGUCACGAAUGGCCGCACAAUUUGGUGGUGUUUGUGUGUUGUGCGGUCAAGCCUUUCUACGGGCUCCAUGGUGAUGCAGCAGCAUCACCUUCUUACGGAGAUGAGAUGAUGGGAUGAGGCCGCAUGGUGUUACCUAUUGUUGUUGUGUUAGCUUUGCUGUGUAUGUGUGCGUGUGAGAGAGAUCAGCGGCUGAUUGGGGAUGGUUAUGUUGUUGCUAGAUUAUAAAACAUGUCGUUUAAGUGAAUAUCAACUGUCGGAAAGAAAGCAAUGGUACUGUGAUUCUACUGUUUUAUGCUAGACGUUAAAGAAUACUACUUGCAAGCAGUUAGCGACGAACUGAGGGUUUGCAAGUAGUACUUUUUCCCAGUUGUGCUUCUACUUGCCUGAAUUUAAGUAGGAGAAAUUACCAGUUGUGUUUUUUUGAAAUAAUCUUGAUUUAACUAUGAUUUUCAGAAACUGGUACAGCUUUAACACGGUUCCUUGCUCACUGUGGUACAUUAAAACAAUAAAUUGAGGAGUUUAGAGCCUGCCUAGAGACCUCACAUAGCACCGCCUCAUUUGGCAGCGACAUCAUGAUGAUCUUGUCUGGUCUACUCCAAGUCUCCGCUUGUGGUUUGUGUUGGAAAUAUGAGCAAUUUACCGAAUGAUUUUAUUAACAAAAAUACUAGAUAAAGCAUGACUAAAAUAGGAAAUAUAAAGAAAGUCAUGCAGUCUGACAGAGAGAAGGUAAACAUCGUCUGCAUAAAUGAACUUGAGCUAAACACAUCUAGAACAGACAAUAGAUGAAGUUGCUCAUACGAAACAGAACCUAACAUACGUAGGGCAGAAACUAGAGCCAAGAACUGUAGCAGGACUUCUAACAGAAAGGAGAAGAACACGUACGGCAUAGCAGCAGCAGAAGAGCUGGACUUGGGGUCAGUGUCCUCGCCUGCCAUGUCGUCGAGGAGGUCGUGGACGUCGGGGAAGAAGUCGUCGUCGGGGAAGUAGUCGUCGGCGACCGGAUCGUCUGUGAUGAAGCAGCCAGUAGUCGCGCUGAGCGCUUCCCAAAAACCUUAUCACCCUUCUCCCGUACAUGACUCAAAAGGUGCGGUCUCUGAGGCCUACUGUCCCAACAUGCGGUGCACGCCGCAAGUCGGGAUGAGGAAGACAGCAGCAGCUCAGAGAUGGAACCGAUGGCGAGGGAAGGAGCAGUUCUGGUGCGUAUCUCUGAAAGGAGCGACCUCCCUUUUAUAGGCGCAAGAGAAGGAGGCGAGAGGCUGCGCCGGGAGCUGAAGGGAAUGUGGGAGACGAAACGAACAAGCAGCAGCUGAAGGGGCGCGCCGUUCGGAUUCAGUGUCCAGGCACAGAAAAAAACUGUUUCAGCUUCCGAGUGACCUUUCGUAUACACGUAGUGCGUGGCAAAACUUUAGACAUCGGCUCAUUCCCGCAACCCGCGGCGUGACGAGGCGGGCGGCGGAGGAGGAGCGCGCGUGGAUGUCCCUCUUGUUCUCAUGCUCAUACAAGUGGGGAAGGAGUCUCCCUUAUAAAGAGGUCCAACUCCCUCUAAACUAGCAAGGUGGGACUAAACUUUAGUUCCACCUCUUACCUUGCAUGAAUGGGCUGCGUGGGCCUCUAGGAUUUAUUAGGAAUUUCUGAAACUGCUAUUGGGCUAGGCCCAAAUAGACAAAAAUUCCAGCAGUUUGUGUUCUUUAGGUCUAUGGAAAACACCACGGUGCAUGCCAUUGUCCGUCAUUUCGGGAAAAAUGACCUAGAACAUGCAGAUAACUAAAUUUGGUGAAAGAACUGAAGAAAUCUACUACAUCACAAUAUGAAUUAAAAACAAACAAAAAAUUGGGCAGGACCUCUACAUAAAAAUGGACAGUUAUAGAAAUUUAGCGAAACGGAAAUAAAUCAACGGUUUGCCAAAAAUUUAACGCUUAUAGUAUGAAUCCCAAUAAGGAAAUGAAGACAUCUACUACAUCACAAUAUGAAUAAAACAUAAACAAAGAAAUUUGGCAUGACCUCUGCAUAAAAAUGGACAUAUUAAGUGAUUGAGAUCUGGCGAAACAGAAAUAAAUCAACGUAUCGCCAAAACUUUAGCACUUAUAGUAAGUAUACCUAUAAUGAAUUGAAGACAUCUACUACAACAUAUUAUUUAACUCAGUAUGAACAGAAAUAAUGUACGGAAUAAUACAAUAUAUAUGUGAGACUAUAUAAUUACCUCUAAUAUGAACAAAUUGGUAUUCCUUGUUCAUGGUUACGUAUGUGGCUGCUGCAACUAUAAUUGUUUUGAUGUGUGUGCCUUAAAAACUAUAGAACAAGAAACUACAACUAUAAAUGAACUCUAGUAUGAACAAAUCGAACUCAUUAACGAAUAUGAACACAUUAAUAGCAAUAACCCUAACCCUAGUCGAACGUACGUGUGCGUGUGCGUGGCGGCCGUGGCCGUGGGUGACAAGGAGGAAAGCCGGAGAGGGAGGCGCGGACGACAAUGUAUUACUGGAUGGAGCGGAGGGUGACGGGGCGGAUCGUCGGUGAGGGCGACGGGGCGGCGAAUCGAGGGCGAGGGAGACGCGCGGUGAACGGCUAGGGCGGCGACGAGUAAGCGGUGCUGAUGGCGGCAGCGGACAGGGACGACGACUUGGGUAGCAUGGAUGAGCCAACGGCGUCCGCGACGAGAUGGGGAAGAGUGGGAGUGAGAGAGUAAAUUGGGGUAGGAGGAGAGGGGGCACGUGCGUGUACGUAGGUCGAUUGAGUUUGUCGUAUGCGACCGGUGUGCCAAGCCUCCCAACACGGCUUCUUUGGGGUGGUGGGCGGAAAACCGAUUCGAUUUGGGGCAGAAUAGACAGCUAACUUAGUUGUGGCGGGUAGGGGCCCAUACCCGCCAGAGCUAAUAUCUGUAUAAAAUUUAUUUUUCUGGCGUGCAUUGCUGGCACUAAACUGUGGCCGGCCCAAUCGAGCGUCCGCCACUUUUGCAUUCAAGAACAAUGGCGGCCGAGGCUAACACCCGCCACUGAUCGCAUUCAUCAGGUGGCCAUACUCAGUGGUGCUUACUUGUGGCGGGUGGUGUUCUCCACCCGCCACUGCUACGCAUGUAACUCUGGAGGUCAUGUUGUGGCACCUGCCACUGGUACUUUUGCUAACUAGCAGUGGCAGGUGCUAUGUCCCGCCCGCCAAUCUUUCGAAUUCACCUAUAAGCCCUUUCCCAGUAGAGUAAUAAAGGACUUCUUGACAAGUCCGUGUAGAUUAAAGGUAUGUUAGUAGAUGGUGUAAUAAAUACAUGCUUUAGUGAUCUAAGGAUACAAAUAUGCCACUAUUUAUUUUGUAAAAGGUCGAAAUCAUUCUUAGAAAUCUUAGUAACAACAGUUCUCAUGAACAACUUUGACAAAAUGCAUCAAAUGUUACAAAUAAUACAUACAAACUUAGUUCAAUAAAUUAAUCAAUUGAAGUGAGAACAAACCUAAAUGUACUUAGAGUAAAUCAAUUAAUACGUGUAAAGCCAAUACUAAUCCAAUAUUUAUUAAUAAAUUUGCAUAGAAUUACAACCCUUUGACAUAGAAAGGGAAUAUGAUGAGUCAUGUAUAGAUAACUUGCACAACAUUCCUACCCUUGGCAUAAAAGGAGAAAUUGAUGAGUCAUGUAUUGAUAAUGUGCACAACAUCACUACCCUUGACAUAAAAGGAGAAUUUGAUGAGUCAUGUGUUGAUAACGUGUACAACAUUACUAUCAGUAUGUUCAACUUACCAUCAUAUUAUACAACACUACAAGUUAGUUUUAAAAAGAACAAGAGUCCAGAACGAAGAUCAGAAUACUUGCUUGAUCUAUCUUAACAACAUGCACUAGGACAAAAAUUUAGUCCCACGCAAGCUAUGAAGAUUUGUUUUAUGUAUAACUAUUUGUACAACAUGACAAACUUAGAUCCAAAAGGAAUGCAAUCCAGAUAAUUGUUUGACAUGUAAAGUGAAUAAGAUGAGUCAAUGCCAAUUAUCAAGUUUUCCUCACUCUUAGAUGAUAUGUACAAUAAAAAGACAACUUUGAUGAUCACUCUGAAAUUACGUUUGUAUGUAGUGCCACCAAACACAACAUCCCAAAUAUUAGUUUGAUAAGCAUCAAAUCACUUUUGAAAAAAGAAAGCAAUAAUGAAAAGAAACCUAACCAAGAUAGCUAUAAAAAGGCCUGCAAUAUGUAGACUCCAUACCAUCAUCCAUCCUUCACACACCUAGAGCACAAAUCAGCAAAUCCAAGUACGUAGUAGUUAACGCAAAUCGACCAUGAAGACCUUACUCAUCCUGACGAUCCUUGCGAUGGCAAUAACCAUCAGCACCGCCAAUAUGCAGGUCGACCCUAGUGGCCAAGUACAAUGGCCACAACAACAACUAGUCCCCCAACCCCAACAGCCAUUAUCCCAGCAACCGCAACAAGCAUUUCCCCAACCCCAACAAACAUUUCCCCAUCAACCACAACAACAAGUUCCCCAGCCUCAGCAACCACAACAACCAUUUCUCCAGCCCCAACAAGCAUUCCCCCAACAACCACAACAACCAUUCCCUCAGACUCAACAACCACAACAACCAUUUCCCCAGCAACCACAACAACCAUUUCCCCAGCAAUCACAACAACCAUUCCCCCAGACUCAACAACCACAACAACCAUUUCCCCAGCAACCACAACAACCAUUCCCCCAGACUCAACAACCACAACAACCAUUUCCCCAGUUCCAGCAACCACACCAACCUUUUCCCCAGCCCCAACAACAAUUCCCGCAGCCCCAACAACCGCAACAAUCAUUCCCCCAGCAACAACGACCGUUCAUUCAGCCAUCUCUACAACAACGUUUGAACCCAUGCAAGAAUAUCCUCUUGCAACAAUGCAAACCUGCGUCAUUGGUGUCAUCCCUCUGGUCGAUAAUCUGGCCACAAAGCGAUUGCCAAGUGAUGCAGCAACAAUGCUGCCAAGAACUAGCACAGAUUCCUCAGCAGCUCCAGUGCGCAGCCAUCCAUAGCGUCGUGCAUUCCAUCAUCGUGCAGCAGCAGCAACAACAACAACAACAACAACAACAACAACAAGGCAUGCAUAUCCUGCUGCCACUAUCUCAACAACAACAGUUGGGUCAAGGUACUCUCGUCCAAGGCCAGGGCAUCAUCCAACCUCAGCAACUAGCUCAAUUGGAGGCGAUCAGGUCAUUGGUGUUGCAAACUCUUCCAACCAUGUGCAACGUGUAUGUCCCACCUGAGUGCUCCAUCAUCAGGGCACCAUUUGCCAGCAUCAGGGCAUCAUCAGGGCACCAUUUGCCAGCAUAGUCGCGGGGAUUGGUGGCCAAUGAAAAAAGCAAGAUCUAUACUAAUAGAUAGAUGGAUCAUCGUUACUUAGCAGAUGCACCAAUCGAUGUAACGAUGACAAAUAAAGUGGCGUGCACCAUCAUGUGUGACCCCGACCAGUGCUAGUUCAAGCUUGGGAAUAAAAGACAAACAGAGUUCUUGUUUGCCAGCAUUGCUUGUCAUUGUUCCAUUCACCAUGUAUUUAGAUGUUCAUCCCUAACCGCAGUUCUAGGCUUACACAUCAACAGCUAGUUGCUUGUGCCGGCAGGUUCCUAUGUAAUCUACCGAUUAAUGGUUGACCUAUUAAUCCAGUUUAUAGGCCGAUUGAUCUAUUAAUUGCUGCUCCCAAACUGACCGACCAGCUAUCAGUUACCAUUUUGCUGAACAUUGCACACAGUAAUAACUCAACGUAUUUUAAUGUCUAGAAGUAAAAGGGCCAUUUUAGCAGCAAAACAAGCGCCUGAUUAGGAACCAUCCAUCACUUUAAAUGUUCACCAAGAUAUUUUUGCGUUGGUGCAAUUUUGAGAUUGGUGGCACCGAAACAUUCCUCAAAGCAAUUCUUUAUGGGACUCCAAAGAGGUGAAAAUAAAGUAAAGUUGCCACAUGGUAAAAUAUAAAUCAUGCGGCGAGCAAGAGAAAAUAUUGAGUUACGAUAGCAAGCGCCAAACAUGCCAUUAAACUCUUCAUAUGGUUUCGUGCAGAGAGGGGGGAUUUAGAGAUGACAAACAAAGCUUAAGUAGCAUCGGUUCUGAUUGUAGAAAUUUCUUUUACCUAUAGAAUAACUCGGUUGUUAUUUCUUUAACAAUGUAGUGUGAUAUUAACUUAUCUCAAUCUAGGAACACAAAGCAAAUAUUACAUGUGCUUCUAUGGAUUCCAAGCAGAUGAGAAAUCAUAUUGUGUAGAAGUUCAUUAGAAGGAUAUAAUAGUUUUGACCUAAACAAAUUUACUAUUGUACUCGUGUCUUAGAAAAUUAAAGCUGAAAAUCAACAUAACCAUUGGACACUUCGAAAGACAAGUGUGGGAAAUAAAUAGUAGGAUGUAAAUUUGAGUAGAGUGUUUGAUCAAAUAUUGAACAAAUAACCCACAAACUACUAAAACUCAUCUAUUAAUUCUACCAUAUAUGAACUGUCACAAUGAUAAAGCUAUGAUUUUUUUGACAAAUAUGUAUCCUAGAACUAAUACAAGUUCAAACAAAUCAGCCACAGAUCCCCGAGCCCAUCCAACCAGAUAGCUGAAACUGAAAGAAGCAUUAGCUUGAUUAGAGCACCUACAGCCUAACUUGACAAAUUUGACCCCAGAAACGCUCGCGGACGCGCCCGGUAGUAACCGGUCACGCCUAAAAUAUUUCAUUCUACAACCAGAUACCUCAAAUUAGAAACCUCAAAUCCAUAUUAUUACAUGCAACAUAAAUCGAUCUUUAAGCAGAGCACGUCCGGUGAUCGAAUGCUCUCCGGAGUGUUGGUCCAGUCACCGGCAAGUUAGAGUAGGGCAUGGGAUACGAGGCGGGUCACGGGACUCGAGGCGCCACCGUCCCCCAUUCCCAACUCUUCUCCAUCGGAACCAGGACGGUGCCGGUGGACGUCAGAUCGAUGAUGGAUCCUUCCUGGGAUGAGCCAUCAACAUCGACCACCACGUGGUUGCGGUGCCCGGACUAGUGCACAAUAUGGGGAGCCGAAAAAUACGACUUUGCCUUCGCAACGACCACCACCGCGAGGGCUGUCGCCGCCUCCCGCACCCGCUGCCUUGCAUGGCAGGAGCGCCGAACUAUGUUUUGCGUCGGGCGGUGCCCAUGGUGUGUCCAUGGCCUCAGCACGCCAAUGGAGGGGCUGUGCGUCUGCCACCCAUUUGAACGCUAGAUGGACCGCACCACCUCUGGUGAGGCAGUGAUGGUACACCUAGCGCCGGAUCCAUGCAUCAUUUGGGCGGACGCAUUGGAUUCCCCGCGGAAGGAGUUCGAGCAUUGCCGUUGCCAUCGGGCAGCCUCCUCCUGAGACCGGCGGAGCGCAAGCUCGAUUGCCAUCUCCUCCUAGGAGCCGCGUGGGAUGAGUUCGGGGUCGACGGAUCUGGAGGUAUAACACUGGGAUCCGCCGCCUGCCAUGCCGAAGAAGGCCAUAAGAUCGUCGGACGGGGGCGGCAGGGAGUGAAGUGAAGUGGCUAGGGUUUGGUCCGGCAAGCGGAUGGGGAGGAAUAUAUGUGGGGUCGGGUGGGCCAGCGUGGAUCGGGACCGACAUGGCGGACGCGCGUGGGCGCCCCAUAUUCUUCCCAGAUUUCGGCUGGAUAUGAGGGGUGUUGGUCAGCUUGGGCGUUGAGGCCCGUCUAGGUCAUUUUUCUGUGACCUGGCCGUCCGCCGGGGUGUUUGAAGUGGGUUUGGGACACCCGGGUGUAAAUGCUCUUAGACCAUGUAGUACCUUGAGGAGGAUGGUGUGGGUCCAUGAAAGAACUACAGCCUUUCCAUUAUGUUCGGGCGCAGGGCGAUAACGAAGUUAUCUUUACUCCUACAAGGGGAGUUGUUAGUCUCCGUUCCAUGGGUUUUUUUGUCUCACCUCCCAUCUUCGUUUCAUUUUUUCCGUCUCUCUUUCACACCGUCGGGUGGAGCUUAUGUGUCAUACUCCGUGACCUUUCAUUAGUUUUCUAGAGAGAAUCCUACUCUCAUAGAUUGCGACGUUUAACAAUCAGACUCAUAUAGGUGUGUUCUUCAAAAGAUGUUCUGCAGGACAACAUCUCUCCUUCAAAAAGCCACUUAGAACACAUUAAGAUAUACAUCAACCUACCAUGCAGAUUAGGAGAGUAUUGCAUCUUCAUGGAGUGGUAUUUUAACAAUAAGGAUACACUACUAGGGAAAAGGCUAGCAGCAGCGCGGGUUUUUGGUGUAUCAGUAGCGCGGGGUGGGGCGCUACUAAUAAGGCGCUACAGCUAACAUAUAGCAGUAGCGCGUGGUCACCGGCGCUACUGCUACACAAGUGUAGCAGCAGCGCGGUUACUGGGAGCACGCUACUGCUAGUAGCUCUAGCGCCCUUUGCAGCAACGCGCUACUGCUAUAGAGGCGCUGCUGCUAACUUCUAUACACUCGCUACUGCUAAUUUAACAGGUUUUUUGUUUUUUUGGGCAUAUUUGUUUUGUAUUUGAACAGGCUUUAUAGAAGAAUCUUUAGCACAUAGAAAUGUCAUCAUGAUACACAUACAAAUGCCUGCGAGACCACGAAUAUAAUCAUAGCAUAUACAUACAAAUAGUCUCAUCAUAAUCAUCAUCCAACACAAAGUGGUCUCUCGUCAUCAUCUCGAAAAUAGCGAUACAAGUCCUUGAUUACUUGCAAAUACAUUGUCAUCCAUCUAAACAAUGGUAUACGCGAGAAGAGCUAUCACUUUGAGAACAUGAGUUCGUAUCCCUCUCUCGCAUUAGCGUGAACCUAAACUAACUACUGCCUGUCGCUCGGAAACCGGAAACCGGCAACACCUGGGUCUGACACUCCGGUCACUCAUCGUAUAUAUACUCCUGGCGUAGCACUUCUUCGCCAUCGAUGAUCUAUGCACCUGCAUCAUCACAUGAGUAGAUGAUAUGCAACAUAUAUAGUUGAGCAACAGAAAGAGACAGACUUGACAAAAAUAGAAACAACGUAUCAUAAGCAUAAAUAACAAAGUUCAUCAUAACCAAAAUGCCCUAACUAGAGUGAUCUUCGCUAGUCGAGGAGGAGGACGGUUUAAUUACAUCACAAAUAAAGUUUUACUGCGCAUAACUCAAAGUUUUGUCAUACAGAAAGUAUGGAGUAAACAGACACAUUGUCAUAUAUUGACAAUCACUCCAACAUGCCGUGCCAUCCAUCGAGGUCAGGGAGAUAGUCCCCGAGCUUAGUGAAAGGCUUCAUGUCGAGACGCUGAGAGGCUAUCCAUGUUCGGACGUCUUCCCACAACAUUUUUCCUCCGUAGAACAUCCCUGUUUUUCCGACGACCUCUUUCAUGAUGAUUUGGGCAAGUUCGCGUUGGAUGUUAUAGAACUCAGCUCGAAGUCGAUGAUCCUCGAUAUCUCCUAUGUCCUUUGCCCAUUGCAGAAUAUGGGCAUCGCCAGAUCUAGGUGACAUGUGAAGGUUCUGGUGAUCCCGUUUGUACUCCCGCAUGUGGUGUAGGACAUAGAAUCCACCAUUAAGAGAAUCGUUCGGUUGUUGGAUGCAGCAGAAGUCGGUCUUAUGGCUGAAGGCGGCCCUGCCGCCCCUUCUCUUCUUGUCCCUAACCUCUCCACCCCUUGCUUGGUAGUAAAACAUAGCACUGUCGAGAACAUCUUUGAUGUGGGUGUAAUCCUUUUUGUGAAUGUUAUUCGAUGAGUCCAAGUAAAGAGCAUGGGAGAAUCGGGGGUAGAGGAUGAUGAGGACGGCGCGCCCGCCGCUGCGCAAAAUAAGUACACCUCAAAUUAAUUAGCCUUCACCGUGCAAAUGAAUUAUUGAAAUCGAAGGAAGGAUAGCAGCGCGGAUGACUUACACGGGAUGAUAAGGCACGAGAAUCGCCUCCUUGUCCUUAUUGGCGAGCAUGAAACUAACGAUGUAAUUCCUCGCGUAUUCACGCUGCUCUGCACAGACUCCCAAGAAGCUCUCGUGCAUGUAGUACGGGUCAGUGACACAGAUAUGACGUAUCUGCUCAACCCCAAUGAUGUAGUUCAUGUGCAAGGCAUAAAGGCGGACAAAUGUAAAAUCCAGCUUCUUCACGUGAAACAUGUCGAAUAUGUAAUCGAAUCGGAGGAAGAACUUAUCCGCAGCGAAGCUGUCGACGUAUGACAUUUUCCGCGGAACGUUAUCCACGUAGAGUGGGUAUCCUGGAUCUUUCGAGGCAAUGAGGCAUUUCUCUACCCGUAGCACAUCAUCAUGAAGUCUCCUUAGAUCGCCGAAUCUGGCCCGUAGCGCUGUUGCAGGUAGGAUUGGUUGACCGGGGAUAUGCCAUUUAUCCGCAUCGGGGAUAUCUAGACGGUCCUGAAGCUGAGGCUGCUGAGGCGGCUGGAUCAUAGAAUCAACUUUUUUUCCUUUCCUCGCUCUCUUCCUAGACUUCUUUACUACCGGAAAGUCGUCAAUAACACAUUGAGACGGUAAUUCAGGCACCGACUCAUGAUGCUCAAACCCUGAGGAGGCGCCAGUAUAGACAUACUGUUCAGCGCCAUCGUCAUCCUCAUCCUCAUCCAUGGCGACGUCAUCAGCGACUAAUGGAGCCUCCUCCUUACCCCGUCCGCUAUCACCCAACCCGACACCCAACGCUAAUUGGGUAGGUGGGGUGUUGAUGUUCAUACCUUGCUGAGACUGCGUGCUCGUGGGUGUGCUCCCGGCCGCCUCCAGACGAAGCAGACUCUUUGGCCACAACAGGACCUACCCAUUGCAACAAUCACCAAGCCGCUGCGGUGUCUCCUCGUCAUCCACCAAUAGUGUUGGAGGAGGCAAAUUCUCGUGGCCCGGUUCGACACUGGCCAUGGAAACCUUGAAGACGUUUGGGGGAAUCGGCCGGCUGUGGAACAAUGGUUCCUUCGGCUUCAUUAUCGUCGCCUUCCCCAUGGCCACCUUCUGGUCCCCGAUGGUGUACAAUAUGGUGCGCGGGGUUUCGUCGGCCUGCAAAGAGAAGUCUGCGACGUGAGACAUUCGAAAGGCAACGAAAACGGGAGAUUAUACAUUUAUAUUGAAGGGGGCCGGUGUGACAGAUACCGUGAGGGCGUCGAGCUCAGCCAAAGACAAAGCACCGCCGAGCACGUCCGGUGCGGGAGCCGGUGCGGGAGCAGGUGCUCCCAAGAAGUCAGCAAGGGGAAAGUCCUCUGCAUUUUUUUCUGGAUUUUUCCUUGUCCAAGUGAUAACGCCCGUCACCAAGGAAGUAGACAAAUCUGCAACCGCCUGUUUUGCGGCAGCUACCGCUGUUGCGACUGUCUGAGAUGAUUUCUUCUCAACCGCAAUCUCAACCUUCUUGUCGAUGUUUUUUUCAGUUAACCUCCGUCUUUCCUUUCUCUCCUCUGUGGUCUCCCGGUAGUACUUCUUCCACGUGGCGCCGUCUCCGACACCGUGCACGCGUCCAUACGAUGGUCGAGUAUCCAUCGGUUGUCGUUUCAAUAUGUUCAACGUCCGGUUGAAUGGAGUGUCCCACUUGGGCCUCGCCAAUGCCUCAGACGGCGAGUCGUUUUCGACCGCAAUCCGGUGCUGCUCUCUCUGCAAAAGGCACAAGGAUCGUUUACAAAUAUGACUAACGUGUGCAGUCGAAUUGAUCAGAAACUAAAAUUACCAGCAGUCUCAUGAACUCCGUAAUGACCGGUGUUGUCUCAUAAACCUUCUUCACUGGGUCCCAACGGUGCCGAGCCCUCAGGACGUCACGCUCCUGCGGGACAGUGAAAUCCGCCAAGGGGUCUGGGAUGCCCAGACUCGCGGCUUCCGCGUCCUCCUUGGCCCAUUUGGACCUCUUUCCGCCGUAACCACGCUUCCGAGGUGGUGGCUCCCAAUGUUCCUCUUUUGAAGCCCCUUCAUGUACUUAGACUUUUUUUGGCAGCUUCGGCCUCGCAAGCCUCCUUGAAUAUUUGAAACUGCUCUUCCGUGAUUGUCAGAUUAUCCUUUACAAUCUCGGAGUAGGGUUCCCCGUCGUUGAUCUUUGCUUUCACUCAAUUUUUCCAGGCGGCCAACGCGUCGCUAAACUUGGUCAUGGCGUGUUUGUUUAUCUUCUUCAUUGCGGGGUCCUCGUCUGGAUCUUCAUAAUCCUUCUCAUUCCGGCCCGGGAACAAGAAUAUCUGGUGAAACUUCUUUAGAAGGGAGCUCCUCAUAUUUUCUAUCUUCUAUAGUUUCUCAUCAUUGAUGGUGGCGGUUGUCCGUAUGAUGCAGCCUAUUUGAUUGCCGUAGCACGCGCGCGCUUCCUCGGGCGCCUUUGGCUCAAAAUUGCCGUCGUCCACCUCUGUGACCACCAGUCUAGUAGUCCUGAGUUUGUUAGGAACCCGUUGCUUCUUUGCGUUCGGUUCUACACCAGCUCCGCUCCCCGAGACAGCACCGGUCUCAGCGCCGCUCUCGAUGCCGGUCUGAAUCUCAGCGCCGGUCUCAGUCUCAGCACCGGUCUGCGUGUCGGUCUCAGUCCCCGAUGCCACUGGUGGGCCCAGCAACAACAUCGGUUGAUCGUCGGUAAGGCUAAAAUAUUCAUCUGCCACCAGGUAGACGUCGUCGCAAUCACCAGAACCCUGUCCUUCAUCGUUGCUAGCCAUGUUUCCUAUCAUUAAAUCUAGUCAAUUAAUUCUAGACCUAAUAAAAUGAAUAAUGACAUAAAAAAGGACUAUUGUUUUGCAGGAAUGUUGACUCCUUCCUGGUGCGGAAAAUCCCGGCACUCGAUAUGUCCUAGUUUGUAGCACAAGUCAUGCCGAAAUUCACGGAAAAUUUUGGCAUGGCCUUUGCUAAAAAGUGGACAAAUCGAGAACCUGAAAUUUGUCGGAACAGAAAUGAAUCAACAUUCCGGCAAAACAUAGGCCACUCAGCAUCAUUCCCUGGAAACAACAAAGCCACUUGGGCACAAUCGAACAACUUCAAUGAAAAGAUAUAACAUGAGCAAACACUAUUGAGGAAUUUGCAUAUAACAUGGCCACUUCAAUGAAAAGAUAUAAUCAACAAUAACGGAAUAUGCAAAUGAACAUCAAUGACAUAUAGCUACUGUUCUGUUUGACCAAGUUUUUGAAAAGAAAAACAAUUCUGUUUUUUGUUUAUAGCUAAAUGCCAUAGCUACUAUUUUUUAUUUAUAGCUAAAUACUUUUGUUUUUUGUCUAAAGCUAAAAGUCUAGGAACUACAUUUUCUCUAACCCUUUUGACCUCACCAGAAUUUUCACAGCAAGACCUUAGUACCUACACCCAAUUUCUUCAAAAAUAUUCAGGUCCAUAGUCCAAAUAAUUCAAAUUUCAUUUGAAUGAAAUUUGGAACAAAUUCAGGUCCGUAGUCAAAAUAUUUUUUUAUAGCUAAGUGUUUUUUGUUUAUACCCUCUGUUAAUUUAAAUCUAAAUGCUACUAUUAUUUAUAUACCCUCUAUUAGUUUAAAGCUAAAUGGAAUUACUGUUUAGGAAUUUUCAUAAAAAUUGCCCUAGCUAAUUUCCUAAAAAAAUUGCAAAUCAUUUUUCCUAAAUGCUAUAAAAUGCCUACUGCCCUAAAAAAAUCUAGGGUUCAUAUGAACACCUAGGGUUCAUAUGAACAUCAACACAGUAUCAACAUAUAUAUAUAUAAUUGCCCUAGCAGAGAGAAAUAGGAGGGUAGGGACAGGAGAGGCAUAGCCUUACGGUCGGCGUUGAGGGCAGGCUCUGGCUCGGGCAGCGGCGGUGAGGUCAAGGGCGGCGGCGGCGAGCUCGAGGGAGGCGACAGUGAGGUCGACGGUGACAGCCUCGGGUGGCGGCUGUGAGGUCGAGGGGGCGGCCUCGGGCGGCGGCCUCGGGCGGCGGCAGUGUGGUCAAAGGCGGCGGGCGGCGGCGGUGUGGUCGAAGGCGGCCUCCGGCGGUGGCGGUGUGGUCGAAGGCGCGCGGCAGGGCAACGGCGGCGAUGAAGCAGUUGGGGGACAGGGGGGAGUAGAGAGGGGGGAAAGGACUUAGCAAAAUUUUGAGCCAGGGCCGCCGGGAUUUGAGUCAAACUAGCAGCAGCGCGUUUUGACGAAACGCGCUAUAGCUAAGAUAGCUAUAGCGUGUUCCAGAGAAAUGCGCUACAGCUAACCCUUUCUGUUUUCUUUCUCUUUUUAUUUUGUUUUCUUUACAUUUUCUUUUUUUCAUUUCUCCUUUUUCUAUUUCUUUCAUUUUCAUUUACUUUUCUACUUAAUUUUCUAUUUAUUUUCCUUUACAUAGCAGUAGCGCUGUAAAGAAGAAACGCGCUGCUACAAUGUUUUUAACAGUAGCGUGCUUCUGGGAGAAGCGCUGCUACUAUUCCUAGCCUACCGGCACCAGUGAGAGAAUUUUAGUAGUAGCGCUUUUUUGUGGAGAAGCGCUACUACUAAAAUAAUGAUUGUAGCGUGGUUUUGCAACAAGCGCUACUACUAAGUAGCGCUAGCGCCGAGUUUUGACCAACGCUACUGCUAUACCUCUGUGUAUAGCAUUUUCCCUAGUAGUGAUACUCUCCUCUCAGUUGACCAACAGCUUGUCUUCCACAUCUAAUUCACGGGAUCUCCGAUCACAAAGAAUGGGUUACCACUGUGGACACCUCAUAUUGUGGGUCUCAUUCCCAUCUCCAUCGAUGCAUUAUCUAUCACAUUACGUGAUAGACCCUUAGUAAAAGGAUCUGCCAGAUUUUUAGACGUUUGGAUAUAAUCCAAUGCAAUAACUCUCGAGUUUUUCAUUUUUCUGACAGACUUUAACCUUCUCUGAACGUGUCUUGAUGACUUCAUGUUAUCCUUUGAGCUGCUCACUUUAGUGAUCACAGUUUGAUUGUCACAGUUCAUCCGGAUACCCGGUACAGGUUUCUCAACUACCGGUAAGUCAUUCAAGAGCCGACGAAGCCAAUCUGCUUCGACCGUAGUUGUAUCUAGUGCUGUGAGUUCUGCUUCCAUUGUUGACCUCGUUAAAAUGGUCUGCUUGCAAGACUUCCAAGAAACAGCGCCACCUCCAUGAGUGAAUACAUAACCGCUCGUGGCCUUUAUCUCAUCAACAUCUGAGAUCCAGUCUGAGUCAAUAUACCCUUCAAGCACCUUUGGAUGCCUAGUGUAGUGAAUUCCAUAAUUUGCAGUGCUUUCAAAUAACGCAAAACUCUCUCUAGAGCUUUCCAAUGCACAUCUCCUGGUUUUGAGACAAACCGGCUCAGUUAGCUAACAGCAAAAGAGAUGUCAGGUCUCGUAGCACUGGCUAAGUACAUAAGCGAGCCAAUAAUGUGUGAAUAUUCCAAUUGGUCUCUAGCAAUUCUUCGAUUCUUUCGAAGCAACACACUAGCAUCAUAUGGUCUUGGAGAGGGCUUGCAGUCACUGUAGCCAAAGCGACUCAAGAUCUUUUCCCCAUAGUGAGACGGAAGCAAUGUAAUCCCACCAUCAUCAUCUCUCAACAACUUGAUGUUCAGAAUGACGUCAGCCACUCCUAAAUCCUUCUUCUCAAAACAGCGAGAUAGGAAAUCCUUGACCUCCUUAAGAACAUUUAGAUUUGUUCCGAAAAUCAGUAUGUCAUCAACAUACAAGCAAAGCAUAACUCCCUCGCCCCCACCAUGGCGAUAGUACACACAUUUGUUAGCUUCGUUCACAACAAAGCCUGCAGCUGUUAAAGUUCUUUCGAACUUCUCAUGCCACUGUUUGGGUGCUUGCUUGAGUCCAUACAAAGACUUCAGCAACUUGCACACUUUCCCUUCCUAACCAUCUAUUACAAACCCAUCUGGUUGUUCCAUAUAAAUUUCCUCAUCCAACUCUCCAUUUAGGAAAGCAGUCUUAACAUCCAUUUGAUGAACGAGAAGACCAUGUGAGGCAGCUAGUGAAAGUUUAACUCGAAUAGUGGUCAGUCGAGCCACAGGUGAGUAAGUAUCAAAGAAGUCUUCACCUUCCUUUUAGGUAUAACCCUUUGCCACGAGCUGAGCCUUGUACUUUUCAAUAGUACCAUCAGGCCUAAGUUUCUUCUUGAAUACCCAUUUGCAUCCUAUAGGUUUGCACCAUAAGGACGAUCAGUUAUCUCCCAAGUUUCAUCCGCCAAGAUGGAAUCCAUCUCGCUACGAACCGCUUCCUUCCAGUAGUCAGCAUCUUCCGAUGCAUAGGCCUCCAAAAUAGAACUGGGAGUGUCAUCUAUGAGAUACACAAGAAAAUCAUCACCCAAGGACUUUGCUGUCCUCUGUCUCUUACUCCUAGUAGGAACUUCAUUGUUCUCCUCCACAGGCCUUUCAAAGUGUUCCAUCGAAAUGGCAGGUUCAGUAAUUGUAACUGGUUCCUGAUUCGAUGAACUAGGCAUCUCCUGAUUAGAUGAGGUAGCCAUAUCCUUCAUGGGAAAGAUAUCUUCAAAGAAAGUCGCAUCAUUCGACUCCAUGAUCGUACUGACAUGCAUGUCAGAUACCUCAGAUUUUACAACCAAGAAUAUAUAGCCAAUGCUAUGAAAAGCAUAUCCCAGGAAAACACAAUCCACAGUCUUUGGUCCAAGCUUCCGCUUCUUUGGAAUUGGAACAUUGACUUUCGCCAAGCAACCCCAUGUUCGCAGAUAAGAGAGUCUUAACCUUUUCUUCUCCCAUUCCUCGAAUGGAGUUAUCUCUUUGUUCUUUGUGGGAACUCGAUUUAGGACAUGACAUGCUGUCAAUAUCGUCUCCCCCCACCAUGCCUUGGAGAGACCCGAUGUGCAUAACAUGGCGUUAACGAAAUCAGUUAGAGUACGGUUCUUUCUUUCGGCCACCCCAUUUGACUGAGGUGAGUAGGGAGGCGUCCUCUCAUGGAUUAUACCAUGUUCCGCACAAAAAGCAUCAAAUUCAUUGGAAAAAUACUCUCCACCACGGUCAGACCUAAGCCUCUUGAUUUUUCGAUCAAGUUGGUUUUCCACUUCAGCUUUAUAGAUCUUGAAAAAGUUCAAAGCCUCAUCCUUAGAUUUCAGAAGAUACACAUGGCAGUAUCUAGUGGAGUCGUCAAUUAACGUCAUGAAAUAUUUCUUUCCACCUUUUGUCAAAACACCAUUCAUUUCACAUAGAUCUGAAUGUAUAAGUUCUAGUGGUGCAAGAUUUCUCGUCUCCGCAGUCACGUGAGACUUACGAGGUUGCUUAGCUUGCACACACACUUGACACUUAGAUCCUUGACAGUGGUGAAACUAGGGAUUAAGUUCAACUUCGCUAGUCGCGACAUGCAACCAAAGUUAACAUGACAAAGACGUGAAUGCCACACAUUUGAUUCACUAUUGUUGCAAAUAUGAUUAACAACUUUAUUGCAAAUGUCUGAUAAGGAUAAACGAAACAGGCCUCCUGACUCAUAGCCUUUACCAACAAAGGUCCCAUACUUGGAUAUUACAAAUUUAUUCGACUCAAAGACAAGCUUAUAGCCAUCUCUACACAGAAGAGAUCCGCUAACAAGAUUUUUAUUGACGGAGGGGACAUAAUGCACGUUCUUCAGCCGCACGAUCUUCCCUGAAGUAAACUUCAGAUCAACCAUGCCAACACCACGAACAGAAGCACUUGAACUGUUGCCCAUCAGCACGGUUGAAGUCCCUGCGGUCUGAUAAGAUGAAAACAUGGAAAUAUCACCGUAUACAUGCACAUUAGCACCCAUGUCAAUCAACCAACCAGGAGAAUGACAUACUGAAAGAAUAGUGGGAAAUAUACCAUACCCAACAUCUUUCAUGUCAAUGUCUCCGAUGACAACAUUAGCGGUCUUGCCGCCUUUCCCAGGAUGACGCUUGUCAUAGCGAUUAGGACAACUAGGAGCCCAAUGAUCAGGAUCUCCAAACACAUGACAAGCACCUUUCUUAUUGUCAUUCUUCUUCUUGAAGUUCAUGUGCUGCACAGCCUUGUUCUUCCCAUCGAACUUUGCUUUACCAUCAAACUUGCCCUUGUUCUUGAACUUGUGGGACUGGAAGUUCUUCUUCUGUACCAGAUUGGCACUAGAUCCUCCCUCAAUACCUCGAGCACAUGUGUCCUUUGCUCUCGCCUUUUCUUCCACAUAAGAGUACCAAUGAGAUCCGGGAUGGAAAACUCCUGUCUCUUAUGCUUCAGUGAGGUAGCAAAGUUCCUCCAUGAAGGAGGAAGCUUAGUGAUGAUACCCCCGGCAACAAACUUGUCCGGUAAGAUACAAUUGAAGUGCUCAAGUUCUCUAGCAAAAGACUGUAUCUCAUGAGCCUGCUCAACCACGGAGCGCUCUUCAGUCAUCCUGUAAUCAUAGAAUUAUUCCAUGAUGUACAGCUCAGUGCCGGCAUCCGAGACCCCAAACUUGGCCUCGAGUGUGUCCCACAUAUCUUUUCAUUGUCAAUUGACGCAUAAGCAUCAACUAUGUUCUCACCAAGAACACUCAAAAGAGCAGCCUUAAACAAGGUAUCCAUUUUCUGGAAAGCUUGUGCCUGUUGGGCAUCUUGCUCUCCUUCGGGUUUGCCAAGAGUGGCAUCAUAGAAACUCAUGGUUUGAAACCAUAAGACUGCUCUCACACGCCACUUCUUAUAGUGGAUACCCUCAAACAUAGGAGGUCUCAUGGAAGCAGCAAAAUCACUCGGGGUAAAUUGCCUAUAAUAAGGUUUUUGGAUUGUUGGAAAUAUGAGCAAUUUACCGAAUGAUUUUAUUAACAAAAAUACUAGAUAAAGCAUGACUAAAAUAGCAAAUAUAAAGCAAGUCAUGCAGUCUGACAGAGAGAAGGUAAACAUCGUCUGCAUAUAUGAACUUGAGCUAAACACAGCUAGAACAGACACUAGAUGAAGUUGCUUAUACGAAACAGAACCUAACAUACGUAGGGCAGAAACUAGAGCCAAGAACUAUAGCAGGACUUCUAACAGAAAGGAGAAGAACACGUACGGCACAGCAGCAGCAGAAGCGCUGGACUUGGGGUUGGUGUCCUUGCCUGCCAUGUCAUCGAGGAGGUCAUGGACGUCAGGGAAGAAGUCGUCGUCGGGGAAGUAGUCGUUGGCGACCGGAUCGUCUGUGAUGAAGCAGCCAGUAGUCGCACUAAGUGCUCCCCAAAAACCUUAUCACCCUUCUCCCGUACAGGACUCAAAAGGUGCGGUCGCGAAAGCCUACUGUCCCGACGUGCGGUGCACGCCACAAGUCGGGAUGAGGAAGACAGCAGCAGCUCAGAGAUGGAACCGAUGGCGAGGGAAGGAGCAGUUCUGGUGCGUCUCUCUGAGAGGAGCGACCUCCCUUUUAUAGGCGCAAGAGAAGGAGGCGAGAGGCUGCGCCGGGAGCUGAAGGGAAUGCGGGAGACGAAACAAACAGGCAGCAGCCGAAGGGGCGCGCCGUUCGGAUUCAGUGUCCAGGCACAGAAAAAAAAUGUUUCAGCUUCCGAGUGACCUUUCGUAUACCCGUAGUGCGUGGCAAAAAUUUAGACAUCGGCUCGGCUCAUUCCCGCAACCCGCGGCGCGGCGCAUCGUGAUGAGGCGUGGUGAGGCGGGCGGCGGAGGAGGAGCACGCGUGGAUGUCCCUCUUGUUCUCAUGCUCAUACAAGUGGGGAAGGAGCCUCCCUUAUAAAGAGGUCCAACUCCCUCUAAACUAGCAAGGUGGGACUAAACUUUAGUUCCACCUCUUGCCUUGCACGAAUGGGCUGCGUGGGCCUCUAGGAUUUAUUAGGAAUUUCUAAAAUUGCUAUUGGGCUAGGCCCAAAUAGACAAAAAUUCCAGCAAUCCCCCACCAGAUCCCAGAGGCACACAAAAUUUGCCUUUGGUUCCAAAACACUGUUUUAUAUACUGGUACAGCAGUGGAGACUGUUAAGUUGAACUUCCACCUAGAACCCUAUGCUACACUAGUAAGCAACUUGAACAGUGGACUGGGCCUUGAACUGCAAGUUUUCUGCAAAUCUAGCUUCACAUAAGGCCUUGACCGAUACGUGGCUACCGUGGGUCUUCCCCGUGGGUGGAGCUUAUGCGUCAUACUCCGUGACCUUUCAUUAGUUUACUAGAGAGAACCCUACUCUCAUAGAUUGCGACGUUUAACAAUCAGACUCAUAUAGGUGCGUUCUUCAAAAGAUGUUCUGCAGGACAACAUCUCUGCUUCAAAAAGCCACUUAGAACACAUUAAGAUAUAAAUCAACCUGCCAUGCAGAUUAGGAGAGUAUUGCAUCUUCAUGGAGUGGUAUUUUAACAGUAUGGAUACUCUCCUCUCAGUUGACCAACAACUUGUCUUCCACAUCUAAUUCACGGGAUCUCCGAUCAUAAAGAAUAGGUUACCACUAUGAACAACUCAUAUUGUGGGUCUCAUUCCCAUCUCCCUCGAUGCAUUAUCUAUCACAUUACGUGAUAGACCGUUAGUAAAAGGAUCUGCCAGAUUUUUAGACGUUUGGAUAGAAUCCAAUGCAAUAACUCUGGAGUUUUUCAUUUUUCUGACAGACUUUAACCUUCUCUGAACGUGUCUUGAUGACUUCAUGUUAUCCUUUGAGUUGCUCACUUUAGUGAUCACAGUUUGAUUGUCACAGUUCAUCCGGAUACCCGGUAUAGGUUUCUCAACUACCGGUAAGUCAUUCAAGAGCCGACGAAGCCAAUCUGCUUCGACCGUACCUGUAUCUAGUGUUGUGAGUUCUGCUUCCAUUGUUGACCUCGUUAAGAUGGUCUGCUUGCAAGACUUCCAAGAAACAGCGCCACCUCCAUGAGUGAAUACAUAACCGCUCGUGGCCUUUAUCUCAUCAGCAUCUGAGAUCCAGUUUGAGUCACUAUACCCUUCAAGCACCUUUGGAUGCCAAGUGUAGUGAAUUCCAUAAUUUGCAGUGCCUUUUAAAUAACGCAAAACUCUCUCUAGAGCUUUCCAAUGCACAUCUCCUGGUUUUGAGACAAACCGGCUUAGUUAGCUAACAGCAAAAGAGAUGUCAGGUCUCGUAGCACUGGCUAAGUACAUAAGCGAGCCAAUAAUCUGUGAAUAUUUCAAUUGGUCUCUAGUGAUUCUUCGAUUCUUUCGAAGCAACACACUAGCAUCAUAUGGUGUUGGAGAGGGCUUGCAGUCACUGUAGCCAAAGCGGCUCAAGAUCUUUUCCACAUAGUGAGAUUGAAGCAAUGUAAUCCCACAAUCAUCAUCUCUCAAAAACUUGAUGUUCAGAAUGACAUCAGCCACUCCUAAAUCCUUCAUCUCAAAACAGCAAGAUAGGAAAUCCUUGACCUCCUUAAGAACAUUCAGAUCUGUUCCGAAAAUCAGUAUGUCAUCAACAUACAAGCAAAGCAUAACUCCCUUGCCCCCACCAUGGCGAUAGUACACACAUUUGUCAGCUUCGUUCACAACAAAGCCUGCAGCUAUUAAAGUUCUUUCGAACUUCUCAUGCCACUGUUUGGGUGCUUGCUUGAGUCCAUACAAAGACUUCAGCAACUUGCACACUUUCCCUUCCUGGCCAUCUAUUACAAACCCCUCUGGUUGUUCCAUAUAAAUUUCCUCAUCCAAAUCUCCAUUUAGGAAAGCAGUCUUAACAUCCAUUUGAUGAACGAGAAGACCAUGUGAGGCAGCUAGUGAAAGUAGACCUCGAAUAGUGGUCAGUCGAGCCACAGGUGAGUAAGUAUCAAAGAAGUCUUCACCUUCCUUUUGGUUAUAACCCUUUGCCACGAGCCGAGCCUUGUACUUUUCAUUAGUACCAUCAGGCCUAAGUUUCUUCUUGAAUACCCAUUUGCAUCCUAUAGGUUUGCACCCAUAAGGACGAUCAGUUAUCUCCCAAGUUUCAUUCGCCAAGAUGGAAUCCAUCUCGCUACGAAUCGCUUCCUUCCAGUAGUCAGCAUCUUCCGAUGCAUAGGCAUCCGAAAUAGAACUGGGAGUGUCAUCUAUGAGAUACACAAGAAAAUCAUCACCAAAGGACUUUGCUGUCCUCUGUCUCUUGCUCCUAGUAGGAACUUCAUUGUUCUCCUCCGCAGGACUUUCAAAGUGUUCCAUCGAAAUGGCAGGUUCAGUAAUUGUAACUGGUUCCUGAUUCGAUGAACUAGGCAUCUCCUAAUUAGAUGAGGUAGCCAUAUCCUUCAUGGGAAUGAUAUCUUCAAAGAAAGUCGCAUCAUUCGACUCCAUGAUCGUACCGACAUGCAUGUCAGAUACCUCAGAUUUUACAACCAAGAAUCUAUAGCCAAUGCUGUGAAAAGCAUAUCCCAGGAAAACACAAUCCACAGUCUUUGGUCCAAGCUUCCGCUUCUUUGGAAUUGGAACAUUGACUUUCGCCAAGCAACCGCAUGUUCGCAGAUAAGAGAGUUUUAACCUUUUCUUCUCCCAUUCCUCGAAUGGAGUUAUCUCUUUGUUCUUUGUGGGGACUCGAUUUAGGACAUGACAUGCUGUCAAUAUCGCCUCCCCCCACCAUGCCUUGGAGAGACCCGAUGUGGCGUUAACCAAAUCAGUUAGAGUACGGUUCUUUCUUUCGGCCACCCCAUUUGACUGAGGUGAGUAGGGAGGCGUCCCCUCAUGGAUUAUACCAUGUUCUGCACAAAAAGCAUCAAAUUCAUUGGAAAAAUACUCUCCACCACGGUCAGACCUAAGCCUCUUGAUUUUUCGAUCAAGUUGGUUUUCCACUUCAGCUUUAUAGAUCUUGAAAAAGUUCAAAGCCUCAUCCUUACAUUUCAGAAGAUACACAUGGCAGUAUCUAGUGGAGUCAUUAAUUAACGUCAUGCAAUAUUUCUUUCCACCUUUUGUCAAAACACCAUUCAUUUCACAUAGAUCUGAAUGUAUAAGUUCUAGUGGUGCAAGAUUUCUCGUCUCCGUAGUCACGUGAGACUUACGAGGUUGCUUAGCUUGCACACACACUUGACACUUAGAUCCUUGACAGUGGUGAAACUAGGGAUUAAGUUCAACUUCGCUAGUCGCGACAUGCAACCAAAGUUAACAUGACAAAGACGUGAAUGCCACACAUUUGAUUCACUAUUGUUGCAAAUAUGAUUAACAACUUUAUUGCAAACGUCUGAUAAGGAUAAACGAAACAGGCCUCCUGACUCAUAGCCUUUACCAACAAAGGUCCCAUACUUGGAUAUUACAAAUUUAUUCGACUCAAAGACAAGCUUAUAGCCAUCUCUACACAGAAGAGAUCCGCUAACAAGAUUUUUAUUGACGGAGGGGACAUAAUGCACGUUCUUCAGCCGCACGAUCUUCCCUGAAGUAAACUUCAGAUCAACCAUGCCAACACCACGAACAGAAGCACUUGAACUGUUGCCCAUCAGCACGGUUGAAGUCCCUGCGGUCUGAUAAGAUGAAAACAUGGAAAUAUCACCGCAUACAUGCACAUUAGCACCCAUGUCAAUCAACCAACCAGGAGAAUGACAUACUGAAAGAAUAGUGGGAAAUAUACCAUACCCAGCAUCUUUCAUGUCAAUGUCUCCGAUGACAACAUUAGCGGUCUUGCCGCCUUUCCCAGGAUGACGCUUGUCAUAGCGAUUAGGACAACUAGGAGCCCAAUGAUCAGGAUCUCCAAACACAUGACAAGCACCUUUCUUAUUGUCAUUCUUCUUCUUGAAGUUCAUGUGCUGCACAGCCUUGUUCUUCCCAUCGAACUUUGCUUUACCAUCAAACUUGCCCUUGUUCUUGAACUUGUGGGACUGGAAGUUCUUCUUCUGUACCAGAUUGGCACUAGAUCCUCCCUCAAUACCUCGAGCACGUGUGUCCUUUGCUCUCGCCUUUUCUUCCACAUAAGAGUACCAAUGAGAUCCGGGAUGGAAAACUCCUGUCUCUUAUGCUUCAGUAAGGUAGCAAAGUUCCUCCAUGAAGGAGGAAGCUUAGUGAUGAUACCCCCGGCAACAAACUUGUCCGGUAAGAUACAAUUGAAGUGCUCAAGUUCUCUAGCAAAAGACUGUAUCUCAUGAGCCUGCUCAACCACGGAGCGCUCUUCAGUCAUCCUGUAAUCAUAGAAUUAUUCCAUGAUGUACAGCUCAGUGCCGGCAUCCGAGACCCCAAACUUGGCCUCGAGUGUGUCCCACAUAUCUUUUCAUUGUCAAUUGAAGCAUAAGCAUCAACUAUGUUCUCACCAAGAACACUCAAAAGAGCAGCCUUAAACAAGGUAUCCAUUUUCUGGAAAGCUUGUGCCUGUUGGGCAUCUUGCUCUCCUUCAGGUUUGCCAAGAGUGGCAUCAUAGAAACUCAUGGUUUGAAACCAUAAGACUGCUCUCACACGCCACUUCUUAUAGUGGAUACCCUCAAACAUAGGAGGUCUCAUGGAAGCAGCAAAAUCACUCGGGGUAAAUUGCCUAUAAUAAGGUUUUUGGAUUGUUGGAAAUAUGAGCAAUUUACCGAAUGAUUUUAUUAACAAAAAUACUAGAUAAAGCAUGACUAAAAUAGCAAAUAUAAAGCAAGUCAUGUAGUCUGACAGAGAGAAGGUAAACAUCGUCUGCAUAUAUGAACUUGAGCUAAACACAGCUAGAACAGACACUAGAUGAAGUUGCUUAUACGAAACAGAACCUAACAUACGUAGGGCAGAAACUAGAGCCAAGAACUAUAGCAGGACUUCUAACAGAAAGGAGAAGAACACGUACGGCACAGCAGCAGCAGAAGCGCUGGACUUGGGGUUGGUGUCCUCGCCUGCCAUGUCAUCGAGGAGGUCAUGGACGUCAGGGAAGAAGUCGUCGUCGGGGAAGUAGUCGUCGGCGACCGGAUCGUCUGUGAUGAAGCAGCCAGUAGUCGCACUAAGCGCUCCCCAAAAACCUUAUCACCCUUCUCCCGUACAGGACUCAAAAGGGGCGGUCGCGAAAGCCUACUGUCCCGACGUGCGGUGCACGCCACAAGUCGGGAUGAGGAAGACAGCAGCAGCUCAGAGAUGGAACCGAUGGCGAGGGAAGGAGCAGUUCUGGUGCGUCUCUCUGAGAGGAGCGACCUCCCUUUUAUAGGCGCAAGAGAAGGAGGCGAGAGGCUGCGCCGGGAGCUGAAGGGAAUGCGGGAGACGAAACGAACAGGCAGCAGCCGAAGGGGCGCGCCGUUCGGAUUCAGUGUCCAGGCACAGAAAAAAAAUGUUUCAGCUUCCGAGUGACCUUUCGUAUACCCGUAGUGCGUGGCAAAAAUUUAGACAUCGGCUCGGCUCAUUCCCGCAACCCGCGGCGCGGCGCAUCGUGAUGAGGCGUGGUGAGGCGGGCGGCGGAGGAGGAGCACGCGUGGAUGUCCCUCUUGUUCUCAUGCUCAUACAAGUGGGGAAGGAGCCUCCCUUAUAAAGAGGUCCAACUCCCUCUAAACUAGCAAGGUGGGACUAAACUUUAGUUCCACCUCUUGCCUUGCACGAAUGGGCUGCGUGGGCCUCUAGGAUUUAUUAGGAAUUUCUAAAAUUGCUAUUGGGCUAGGCCCAAAUAGACAAAAAUUCCAGCAAUCCCCCACCAGAUCCCAGAGGCACACAAAAUUUGCCUUUGGUUCCAAAACACUGUUUUAUAUACUGGUACAGCAGUGGAGACUGUUAAGUUGAACUUCCACCUAGAACCCUAUGCUACACUAGUAAGCAACUUGAACAGUGGACUGGGCCUUGAACUGCAAGUUUUCUGCAAAUCUAGCUUCACAUAAGGCCUUGACCGAUACGUGGCUACCGUGGGUCUUCCCCGUGGGUGGAGCUUAUGCGUCAUACUCCGUGACCUUUCAUUAGUUUACUAGAGAGAACCCUACUCUCAUAGAUUGCGACGUUUAACAAUCAGACUCAUAUAGGUGCGUUCUUCAAAAGAUGUUCUGCAGGACAACAUCUCUGCUUCAAAAAGCCACUUAGAACACAUUAAGAUAUAAAUCAACCUGCCAUGCAGAUUAGGAGAGUAUUGCAUCUUCAUGGAGUGGUAUUUUAACAGUAUGGAUACUCUCCUCUCAGUUGACCAACAACUUGUCUUCCACAUCUAAUUCACGGGAUCUCCGAUCAUAAAGAAUAGGUUACCACUAUGAACAACUCAUAUUGUGGGUCUCAUUCCCAUCUCCCUCGAUGCAUUAUCUAUCACAUUACGUGAUAGACCCUUAGUAAAAGGAUCUGCCAGAUUUUUAGACGUUUGGAUAUAAUCCAAUGCAAUAACUCUGGAGUUUUUCAUUUUUCUGACAGACUUUAACCUUCUCUGAACGUGUCUUGAUGACUUCAUGUUAUCCUUUGAGUUGCUCACUUUAGUGAUCACAGUUUGAUUGUCACAGUUCAUCCGGAUACCCGGUACAGGUUUCUCAACUACCGGUAAGUCAUUCAAGAGCCGACGAAGCCAAUCUGCUUCGACCGUACCUGUAUCUAGUGUUGUGAGUUCUGCUUCCAUUGUUGACCUCAUUAAGAUGGUCUGCUUGCAAGACUUCCAAGAAACAGCGCCACCUCCAUGAGUGAAUACAUAACCGCUCGUGGCCUUUAUCUCAUCAGCAUCUGAGAUCCAGUUUGAGUCACUAUACCCUUCAAGCACCUUUGGAUGCCAAGUGUAGUGAAUUCCAUAAUUUGCAGUGCCUUUUAAAUAACGCAAAACUCUCUCUAGAGCUUUCCAAUGCACAUCUCCUGGUUUUGAGACAAACCGGCUUAGUUAGCUAAUAGCAAAAGAGAUGUCAGGUCUCGUAGCACUGGCUAAGUACAUAAGCGAGCCAAUAAUCUGUGAAUAUUUCAAUUGGUCUCUAGUGAUUCUUCGAUUCUUUCGAAGCAACACACUAGCAUCAUAUGGUCUUGGAGAGGGCUUGCAGUCACUGUAGCCAAAGCGGCUCAAGAUCUUUUCCACAUAGUGAGAUUGAAGCAAUGUAAUCCCACCAUCAUCAUCUCUCAACAACUUGAUGUUCAGAAUGACAUCAGCCACUCCUAAAUCCUUCAUCUCAAAACAGCAAGAUAGGAAAUCCUUGACCUCCUUAAGAACAUUCAGAUUUGUUCCGAAAAUCAGUAUGUCAUCAACAUACAAGCAAAGCAUAACUCCCUUGCCCCCACCAUGGCGAUAGUACACACAUUUGUCAGCUUCGUUCACAACAAAGCCUGCAGCUAUUAAAGUUCUUUCGAACUUCUCAUGCCACUGUUUGGGUGCUUGCUUGAGUCCAUACAAAGACUUCAGCAACUUGCACACUUUCCCUUCCUGGCCAUCUAUUACAAACCCCUCUGGUUGUUCCAUAUAAAUUUCCUCAUCCAAAUCUCCAUUUAGGAAAGCAGUCUUAACAUCCAUUUGAUGAACGAGAAGACCAUGUGAGGCAGCUAGUGAAAGUAGACCUCGAAUAGUGGUCAGUCGAGCCACAGGUGAGUAAGUAUCAAAGAAAUCUUCACCUUCCUUUUGGUUAUAACCCUUUGCCACGAGCCGAGCCUUGUACUUUUCAUUAGUACCAUCAGGCCUAAGUUUCUUCUUGAAUACCCAUUUGCAUCCUAUAGGUUUGCACCCAUAAGGACGAUCAGUUAUCUCCCAAGUUUCAUUCGCCAAGAUGGAAUCCAUCUCGCUACGAAUCGCUUCCUUCCAGUAGUCAGCAUCUUCCGAUGCAUAGGCAUCCGAAAUAGAACUGGGAGUGUCAUCUAUGAGAUACACAAGAAAAUCAUCACCAAAGGACUUUGCUGUCCUCUGUCUCUUGCUCCUAGUAGGAACUUCAUUGUUCUCCUCCGCAGGACUUUCAAAGUGUUCCAUCGAAAUGGCAGGUUCAGUAAUUGUAACUGGUUCCUGAUUCGAUGAACUAGGCAUCUCCUAAUUAGAUGAGGUAGCCAUAUCCUUCAUGGGAAUGAUAUCUUCAAAGAAAGUCGCAUCAUUCGACUCCAUGAUCGUACCGACAUGCAUGUCAGAUACCUCAGAUUUUACAACCAAGAAUCUAUAGCCAAUGCUGUGAAAAGCAUAUCCCAGGAAAACACAAUCCACAGUCUUUGGUCCAAGCUUCCGCUUCUUUGGAAUUGGAACAUUGACUUUCGCCAAGCAACCCCAUGUUCGCAGAUAAGAGAGUUUUAACCUUUUCUUCUCCCAUUCCUCGAAUGGAGUUAUCUCUUUGUUCUUUGUGGGGACUCGAUUUAGGACAUGACAUGCUGUCAAUAUCGCCUCCCCCCACCAUGCCUUGGAGAGACCCGAUGUGGCGUUAACCAAAUCAGUUAGAGUACGGUUCUUUCUUUCGGCCACCCCAUUUGACUGAGGUGAGUAGGGAGGCGUCCUCUCAUGGAUUAUACCAUGUUCUGCACAAAAAGCAUCAAAUUCAUUGGAAAAAUACUCUCCACCACAGUCAGACCUAAGCCUCUUGAUUUUUCGAUCAAGUUGGUUUUCCACUUCAGCUUUAUAGAUCUUGAAAAAGUUCAAAGCCUCAUCCUUACAUUUCAGAAGAUACACAUGGCAGUAUCUAGUGGAGUCAUUAAUUAACGUCAUGCAAUAUUUCUUUCCACCUUUUGUCAAAACACCAUUCAUUUCACAUAGAUCUGAAUGUAUAAGUUCUAGUGGUGCAAGAUUUCUCGUCUCCGCAGUCACGUGAGACUUACGAGGUUGCUUAGCUUGCACACACACUUGACACUUAGAUCCUUGACAGUGGUGAAACCAGGGAUUAAGUUCAACUUCGCUAGUCGCGACAUGCAACCAAAGUUAACAUGACAAAGACGUGAAUGCCACACAUUUGAUUCACUAUUGUUGCAAAUAUGAUUAACAACUUUAUUGCAAACGUCUGAUAAGGAUAAACGAAACAGGCCUCCUGACUCAUAGCCUUUACCAACAAAGGUCCCAUACUUGGAUAUUACAAAUUUAUUCGACUCAAAGACAAGCUUAUAGCCAUCUCUACACAGAAGAGAUCCGCUAACAAGAUUUUUAUUGACGGAGGGGACAUAAUGCAUGUUCUUCAGCCGCACGAUCUUCCCUGAAGUAAACUUCAGAUCAACCAUGCCAACACCACGAACAGAAGCACUUGAACUGUUGCCCAUCAGCACGGUUGAAGUCCCUGCGGUCUGAUAAGAUGAAAACAUGGAAAUAUCACCGCAUACAUGCACAUUAGCACCCAUGUCAAUCAACCAACCAGGAGAAUGACAUACUGAAAGAAUAGUGGGAAAUAUACCAUACCCAGCAUCUUUCAUGUCAAUGUGUCCGAUGACAACAUUAGCGGUCUUGCCGCCUUUCCCAGGAUGACGCUUGUCAUAGCGAUUAGGACAACUAGGAGCCCAAUGAUCAGGAUCUCCAAACACAUGACAAGCACCUUUCUUCUUGUCAUUCUUCUUCUUGAAGUUCAUGUGCUGCACAGCCUUGUUCUUCCCAUCGAACUUUGCUUUACCAUCAAACUUGCCCUUGUUCUUGAACUUGUGGGACUGAAAGUUCUUCUUCUGUACCAGAUUGGCACUAGAUCCUCCCUCAAUACCUCGGGCACGUGUGUCCUUUGCUCUCGCCUUUUCUUCCACAUAAGAGUACCAAUGAGAUCCGGGACGGAAAACUCCUGUCUCUUAUGCUUCAGUAAGGUAGCAAAGUUCCUCCAUGAAGGAGGAAGCUUAGUGAUGAUACCCCCGGCAACAAACUUGUCCGGUAAGAUACAAUUGAAGUUCUCAAGUUCUCUAGCAAAAGACUGUAUCUCAUGAGCCUGCUCAACCAUGGAGCGCUCUUCAGUCAUCCUGUAAUCAUAGAAUUAUUCCAUGAUGUACAGCUCAGUGCCGGCAUCCGAGACCCCAAACUUGGCCUCGAGUGUGUCCCACAUAUCUUUUCAUUGUCAAUUGACGCAUAAGCAUCAACUAUGUUCUCACCAAGAACACUCAAAAGAGCAGCCUUAAACAAGGUAUCCAUUUUCUGGAAAUCUUGUGCCUGUUGGGCAUCUUGCUCUCCUUCAGGUUUGCCAAGAGUGGCGUCAUAGAAACUCAUGGUUUGAAACCAUAAGACUGCUCUCACACGCCACCUCUUAUAGUGAAUACCCUCAAACAUAGGAGGUCUCAUGGAAGCAGCAAAAUCACUCAGGGUAAAUUGCCUAUAAUAAGGUUUUUGGAUUGUUGGAAAUAUGAGCAAUUUACCGAAUGAUUUUAUUAACAAAAAUACUAGAUAAAGCAUGACUAAAAUAGCAAAUAUAAAGCAAGUCAUGCAGUCUGAGAGAUAGAAGGUAAACAUCGUCUGCAUAUAUGAACUUGAGCUAAACACAUCUAGAACAGACACUAGAUGAAGUUGCUUAUACGAAACAGAACCUAACAUACGUAGGGCAAAAUCUAGAGCCAAGAACUGUAGCAGGACUUCUAACAGAAAGGAGAAGAACACGUACGGCACAGCAGCAGCAGAAGCGCUGGACUUGGGUUGCUGUCCUCGCCUGCCAUGUCAUCGAGGAGGUCAUGGACGUCAGGGAAGAAGUCGUCGUCGGCGGGGAAGUAGUCGUCGGCGACCGGAUCGUCUGUGAUGAAGCAGCCAGUAGUCGCACUGAGCACUCCCCAAAAACCUUAUCACCCUUCUCUCGUACAAGACUCAAAAGGUGCGGUCGCGAAAGCCUACUGUCCCGACGUGCGGUGCACGCCGCAAGUCGGGAUGAGGAAGACAGCAGCAGCUCAGAGAUGGAACCGAUGGCGAGGGAAGGAGCAGUUCUGGUGCGUCUCUCUGAGAGGAGCGACCUCCCUUUUAUAGGCGCAAGAGAAGGAGGCGAGAGGCUGCGCCGAGAGCUGAAGGGAAUGCGGGAGACGAAACGAACAGGCAGCAGCCGAAGGGGCGCACCAUUCGGAUUCAGUGUCCAGGCACAGAAAAAAAAUGUUUCAGCUUUCGAGUGACCUUUCGUAUACCCGUAGUGCGUGGCAAAAAUUUAGACAUCGGCUCGGCUCAUUCCCGCAACCCGCGGCGCGGCGCAUCGUGACGAGGCGUGGUGAGGCAGGCGGCGGAGGAGGAGCGCACGUGGAUGUCCCUCUUGUUCUCAUGCUCAUACAAGUGGGGAAGGAGCCUCCCUUAUAAAGAGGUCCAACUCCCUCUAAACUAGCAAGGUGGGACUAAACUUUAGUUCCACCUCUUGCCUUGCACGAAUGGGCUGCAUGGGCCUCUAGGAUUUAUUAGGAAUUUCUAAAAUUGCUAUUGGGCUAGGCCCAAAUAGACAAAAAUUCCAGCAAUCCCCCACCAGAUCCCAGAGGCACAAAAAAUUUGCCUUUGGUUCCAAAACACUGUUUUAUAUACUGGUACAGCAGUGGAGACUGUUAAGUUGAACUUCCACCUAGAACCCUAUGCUACACUAGUAAGCAACUUGAACAGUGGACUGGGCCUUGAACUGCAAGUUUUCUGCAAAUCUAGCUUCACAUAAAGCCUUGACCGAUACGUGGCUACCGUGGGUCUUCCCCGCGGGUGGAGCUUAUGCGUCAUACUCCAUGACCUUUCAUUAGUUUACUAGAGAGAACCCUACUCUCAUAGAUUGCGACGUUUAACAAUCAGACUCAUAUAGGUGCGUUCUUCAAAAGAUGUUCUGCAGGACAACAUCUCUGCUUCAAAAAGCCACUUAGAACACAUUAAGAUAUAAAUCAACCUGCCAUGCAGAUUAGGAGAGUAUUGCAUCUUCAUGGAGUGGUAUUUUAACAGUAUGGAUACUCUCCUCUCAGUUGACUAACAGCUUGUCUUCCACAUCUAAUUCACGGGAUCUCCGAUCAUAAAGAAUAGAUUACCACUGUGAACAACUCAUAUUGUGGGUCUCAUUCCCAUCUCCCUCGAUGCAUUAUCUAUCACAUUACGUGAUAGACCCUUAGUAAAAGGAUCUGCCAGAUUUUUAGACGUUUGGAUAUGAUCCAAUGCAAUAACUCUGGAGUUUUUCAUUUUUCUGACAGACUAACCUUCUCUGAACGUGUCUUGAUGACUUCAUGUUAUCCUUUGAGUUGCUCACUUUAGUGAUCACAGUUUGAUUGUCACAGUUCAUCCGGAUACCCGAUACAGGUUUCUCAACUACCGGUAAGUCAUUCAAGAGCAGACGAAGCCAAUCCGCUUCAACCGUACAUGUAUCUAGUGUUGUGAGUUCUACUUCCAUUGUUGACCUCGUUAGAUGGUCUGCUUGCAAGACUUCCAAGAAACAGCGCCACCUCCAUGAGUGAAUACAUAACCGCUCGUGGCCUUUAUCUCAUCAACAUCUGAGAUCCAGUUUGAGUUACUAUACCCUUCAAGCACCUUUGGAUGCCCAGUGUAGUGAAUUCCAUAAUUUGCAGUGCCUUUCAAAUAACGCAAAACUCUCUCUAGAGCUUUCCAAUGCACAUCUCCUGGUUUUGAGACAAACCGGCUUAGUUAGCUAACAGCAAAAGAGAUGUCAGGUCUCAUAGCACUGGCUAAGUACAUAAGCGAGCCAAUAAUCUGUGAAUAUUUCAAUUGGUCUCUAGCGAUUCUUCGAUUCUUUCGAAGCAACACACUAGCAUCAUAUGGUGUUGGAGAGGGCUUGCAGUCACUAUAGCCAAAGCGGCUCAAGAUCUUUUCCACAUAGUGAGAUUGAAGCAAUGUAAUCCCACCAUCAUCAUCUCUCAACAACUUGAUGUUCAGAAUGAGAUCAGCCACUCCUAAAUCCUUCAUCUCAAAACAGCAAGAUAGGAAAUCCUUGACCUCCUUAAGAACAUUCAGAUUUGUUCCGAAAAUCAGUAUGUCAUCAACAUACAAGCAAAGCAUAACUCCCUCGCCCCCACCAUGGCGAUAGUACACACAUUUGUCAGCUUCGUUCACAACAAAGCCUGCAGCUAUUAAAGUUCUUUCGAACUUCUCAUGCCACUGUUUGGGUGCUUGCUUGAGUCCAUACAAAGACUUCAGCAACUUGCACACUUUCCCUUCCUGGCCAUCUAUUACAAACCCCUCUGGUUGUUCCAUAUAAAUUUCCUCAUCCAAAUCUCCAUUUAGGAAAGCAGUCUUAACAUCCAUUUGAUGAACGAGAAGACCAUGUGAGGUAGCUAGUGAAAGUAGACCUCGAAUAGUGGUCAGUCGAGCCACAGGUGAGUAAGUAUCAAAGAAGUCUUCACCUUCCUUUUGGGUAUAACCCUUUUCCAUGAGCCAAGCCUUGUACUUUUCAUUAGUACCAUCAGGCCUAAGUUUCUUCUUGAAUACCCAUUUGCAUCCUAUAGGUUUGCACCCAUAAGGACGAUCAGUUAUCUCCCAAGUUUCAUUCGCCAAGAUGGAGUCCAUCUCGCUACGAAUCGCUUCCUUCCAGUAGUCAGCAUCUUCCGAUGCAUAGGCAUCCGAAAUAGAACUGGGAGUGUCAUCUAUGAGAUACACAAGAAAAUCAUCAGCAAAGGACUUUGCUGUCCUCUGUCUCUUGCUCCUAGUAGGAACUUCAUUGUUCUCCUCCGCAGGACUUUCAAAGUGUUCCAUCGAAAUGGCAGGUUCAGUAAUUGUAACUGGUUCCUGAUUCGAUGAACUAGGCAUCUCCUAAUUAGAUGAGGUAGCCAUAUCCUUCAUGGGAAUGAUAUCUUCAAAGAAAGUCGCAUCAUUCGACUCCAUGAUCGUACCGACAUGCAUGUCAGAUACCUCAGAUUUUACAACCAAGAAUCUAUAGCCAAUGCUGUGAAAAGCAUAUCCCAGGAAAACACAAUCAACAGUCUUUGGUCCAAGCUUCCGCUUCUUUGGAAUUGGAACAUUGACUUUCGCCAAGCAACCCCAUGUUCGCAGAUAAGAGAGUUUUAACCUUUUCUUCUCCCAUUCCUCGAAUGGAGUUAUCUCUUUGUUCUUUGUGGGGACUCGAUUUAGGACAUGACAUGCUGUCAAUAUCGCCUCCCCCCACCAUGCCUUGGAGAGACCCGAUGUGGCGUUAACCAAAUCAGUUAGAGUACGGUUCUUUCUUUCGGCCACCCCAUUUGACUGAGGUGAGUAGGGAUGCGUCCUCUCAUGGAUUAUACCUUGUUCUGCACAAAAAGCAUCAAAUUCAUUGGAAAAAUACUCUCCACCACGGUCAGACCUAAGCCUCUUGAUUUUUCGAUCAAGUUGGUUUUCCACUUCAGCUUUAUAGAUCUUGAAAAAGUUCAAAUCCUCAUCCUUACAUUUCAGAAGAUACACAUGGCAGUAUCUAGUGGAGUCGUUAAUUAACGUCAUGAAAUAUUUCUUUCCACGUUUUGUCAAAACACCAUUCAUUUCACAUAGAUCUGAAUGUAUAAGUUCUAGUGGUGCAAGAUUUCUCGUCUCCGCAGUCAUGUGAGACUUACGAGGUUGCUUAGCUUGCACACACACUUGACACUUAGAUCCCUUGACAGUGGUGAAACUAGGGAUUAAGUUCAACUUCGCUAGCCGCGACAUGCAACCAAAGUUAACAUGACAAAGACGUGAAUGCCACACAUUUGAUUCACUAUUGUUGCAAAUAUGAUUAACAACUUUAUUGCAAAUGUCUGAUAAGGAUAAACGAAACAGGCUUCCUGACUCAUAGCCUUUGCCAACAAAAGUUCCAUACUGGGAUAUUACAAAUUUAUUCGACUCAAAUACAAGCUUAUAGCCAUCUCUACACAGAAGAGAUCCGCUAACAAGAUUGUUAUUGACGGAGGGGACAUAAUGCACGUUCUUCAGCCGCACGAUCUUCCCCGAAGUAAACUUCAGAUCGACCAUGCCAACACCACGAACAGAAGCACUUGAACCGUUGCCCAUCAGCACGGUUGAAGUCCCUGCGGUCUGAUCAGAUGAAAACAUGGAAAUAUCACUGCAUACAUGCACAUUAGCACCCAUGUCAAUCAACCAAUCAGGAGAAUGACAUACUGAAAGAAUAGUGGGAAAUAUACCAUACCCAGCAUCUUUCAUGUCAAUGUCUCCGAUGACAACAUUAGCGGUCUUGCCGCCUUUCCCAGGAUGACGCUUGUCAUAGAGAUUAGGACAAAUAGGAGCCCAAUGAUCAGGCUCUCCACACACAUGACAAGCACCUUUCUUCUUGUCAUUCUUCUUCUUGAAGUUCGUGUGCUGCACAGCCUUGUUCUUCCCAUCGAACUUUGCUUUACCAUCAAACUUGCCCUUGUUCUAGAACUUGUGGGACUGGAAGUUCUUCUUCUGUACUAGAUUGGCACUAGAUCCUCCCUCAAUACCUCGAGCACGUGUGUCCUUUGCUCUCGCCUUUUCUUCCACAUCAAGAGUACCAAUGAGUUCCGGGACGGAAAACUCCUGUCUCUUAUGCUUCAGUAAGGUAGCAAAGUUCCUCCACGAAGGAGGAAGCUUAGUGAUGAUACCCCCGGCAACAAACUUGUCCGGUAAGAUACAAUUGAAGUGCUCAAGUUCUCUAGCAAAGGACUGUAUCUCAUGAUCCUGCUCAACCACGGAGCGCUCUUCAGUCAUCAUGUAAUCAUAGAAUUGCUCCAUGAUGUACAAUUCAGUGCCGGCAUCCGAGACCCCAAACUUGGCCUCAAGUGCGUCCCACAUAUCUUUUCUAUUGUCAAUUGACGCAUAAGCAUCAACUAUGUUCUCACCAAGAACACUCAAAAGAGCAGCCUUAAACAAGGUAUCCAUUUUCAGAAAAGCUUGUGCCUGUUGGGCAUCUUGCUCUCCUUCAGGUUUGCCAAGAGUGGCGUCAUAGCAACUCAUGGUUUGAAACCAUAAGACUGCUCUCACGCGCCACCUCUUAUAGUGGAUACCCUCAAACAUACGAGCUCUCAUGGAAGCAGCAAAACCACUCGGGGUAAAUUGCCUAUAAUAAGGUUUUUGGAUUGUUGGAAAUAUGAGCAAUUUACCGAAUGAUUUUAUUAACAAAAAUACUAGAUAAAGCAUGACUAAAAUAGCAAAUAUAAAACAAGUCAUGCAGUCUGACAGAGAGAAGGUAAACAUCGUCUGCAUAUAUGAACUUGAGCUAAACACAUCUAGAACAUACACUAGAUGAAGUUGCUUAUACGAAACAGAACCUAACAUACGUAGGGCAGAAACUAGAGCCAAGAACUGUAGCAGGACUUCUAACAGAAAGGAGAAGAACACGUACGGCAUAGCAGCAGCAGAAGCGCUGGACUUCGGGUCGGUGUCCUCGCCUGCCAUGUCGUCGAGGAGGUCGUGGACGUCGGGGAAGAAGUCGUCGUCGGGGAAGUAGUCGUCGGCGACCGGAUCGUCCGUGAUGAAGCAGCCAGUAGUCGCGCUGAGCGCUCCCCAAAAACCUUAUCACCCUUCUCCCGUACAGGACUCAAAAGGUGCGGUCUCGGAGGCCUACUAUCCCGACGUGCGGUGCACGCCGCAAGUCGGGAUGAGGAAGACAGCAGCAGCUCAGAGAUGGAACCGAUGGCGAGGGAAGGAGCAGUUCUGGUGCGUCUCUCUGAGAGGAGCGACCUCCCUUUUAUAGGCGCAAGAGAAGGAGGCGAGAGGCUGCGCCGGGAGCUGAAGGGAAUGCGGGAGACGAAACGAACAUGCAGCAGCCGAAGGGGCGCGCCUUCGGAUUCAGUGUCCAGGCACAGAAAAAAAUGUUUCAGCUUCCGAGUGACCUUUCGUAUACCCGUAGUGCGUGGCAAAAAUUUAGACAUCGGCUCGGCUCAUUCCCGCAACCCGCGGCGCGGCAUGACGAGGCGUGGUGAGGCGGGCGGCGGAGGAGGAGCGCGCGUGGAUGUCCCUCUUGUUCUCAUGCUCAUACAAGUGGAGAAGGAGCCUCCCUUAUAAAGAGGUCCAACUCCCUCUAAACUAGCAAGGUGGGACUAAACUUUAGUUCCACCUCUUGCCUUGCACGAAUGGGCUGCGUGGUCCUCUAGGAUUUAUUAGGAAUUUCUGAAACUGCUAUUGUGCUAGGCCCAAAUAGACAAAAAUUCCAGCAGUUUGUGUUCUUCAGGUCUCCACUUGCCAUGAUAUUGCGGCUGGGCUUCGGGUAUGUGUUACCACUGAUACAUCAUUCCAAACUACUAAUGAAUUGGUCUCUGAUGUCUUCUUCUCAAUUUUAACUAGGGCCUGCUUCUGUUUGCACCAAUUCGAGAUAGUGGUUGUGGAAUGCAGCAGCCAAGACAACAAGGUCAGGCUCGGCUUAGGUAUGAUGACAAACAAAAUUAGAUUCGGAUGGUUCCUUACAUCUUCCUCUCAGAAUCAAGAGUGAUAAUACUUUUUUGGUGCUCCGGCUUCUGCAGUUUCUGAAGAACUGAUUCGUUGUUCAGGCAUUUCAUGCAUUUGGAGUUCACAGGUAUCUAAGUUUCUCUGACUGUGUUUUCAAAUAAUUGAUACUUGACAUUAGGAUUUUUGGCUGAACAAAUCAUCUUAGACAUAAGUAGAACCCGGCAAAUUGUGAGACAGAGCUAAUUGAUACACAGUUUAGAAAAUAGAACUGAACAAUUCUUGGUAGUCACUAUUGAUUAGCUAUGUGCGUACCUUAAGUUCCUUACUACUUAUUUUAAUUGUUAGUACUUGAAGGUUUGAAUAAUUAUUAUUACCAAGUUACAUGUUGAUCACUACUUAUUAUGAAAAUGUAUGUCCAUGGUUUAAAGGAGCUUUAUUGUUUCAGUCUAUACUAAGUUAUUUGUCGGUUAUACUGGAGCUUAUAUUGUUCCCUCUUUGAUCUAGACAUCAAAUAUUCUAAGCUUCAUUUUUGUGAGCAAACGGUUCUAUGCUUCCUUUUUGUGAACAUUGCUCCAUAAAUAGUAGUGGCAUUUACUAUGCAGAUGAUACUGACAAAUUAUCAUACAAGUCCGCAUUAAUAUUCAGUCAGUAGGUUAUUGAAGAAGGCCGGAGAUCGCGUGGAGCACCAACAAUAACCUCAAGUAGAUGCAGCAGAGACAUGUGAUGAACUAUCAUAUGUUUCCUAAUCUGAAUGUUUGCUCCAAUCGCUUGAUUGUUUGAUCUGGUUUGUUGUGACAAUACAAUGAUUUUCUAUGUUCUUUUUGUGGUGCAAUCUCCGUUGAUUUGGAAAGAUGGGGACUUUCUGUUGAGCUAUUUCGAUCGGCCAUUGGCCAUAACAUUCCAAAUUCCUUAUUUUGUUUCCUCUUUUUCGCGGCUUCAUUUUACGUGUCUCACUAAAGGUGGGCAUGACUUGAAAAGGGAGGCAAACAAAACUGCCAAGAUGCAUCUCUUUUGCAGCAGAAGAAGAGGCACUGAUGAGAGGUGGAAAAGGAGGGGCAAAGAAGGAAGCCAUGGGCAUGUGCCGCCUACCGACCAUGAAUAUCAACAAUGACAAUGACGACUAGCUUGUGUGCGUGUGAGAGAGGGAGGGAGAGGGAGUCAAAACAAAAUGAUGUAUAUCUUUACUACAUUAUAAAAUGGGAUUUGGUGAGCUAUUUGUCCUUUAUGAUUCAUGAGAUUUUAAUUCUAUAGUGUUUUUUGCUCUUAAUAUAUUAUUGUGGUUAUAGAUUUAUCAUUGACACAAUAUAUGUAGAAACUUUUUUGAUCUAAAUAAGAAGAACAAAAGUUUACGGGAUGCUUUUUGAUCGUUCCCUUUACCUAGCUUCCAAUUUCUAUUGUCAGAAACACAUUUUUUUUGUUCCUAUAGGAAACAUAUGCAAAUAAAAGAUUUGCCGAAGCUUUUUGAGUCCCUGAUGCAUACUAAAUACAGUCCUAGAACAAUAUGCUUAUGCAUAAUAACAAGCUGGAAAAUUGCUCCAAAAUAACACUUAAAACAUAUAAAAGAACAAAAAAAUCCAUUCUGAAUUCUAAAAUGAUCUUUCAAUGUAUGCAGCAAACUGCUUCCUUUAUAAUCUGACAAAACUCGCAGGACUUAUCAUGACGCAUGAAAGGAUAUAGUAAACCAUCACACCGAAGCCGAGGUUGGCUUUGUUUCCUUAUUUUUGCGAGAAGGUGUCAUAGUUCUACUAUUUUGAUUAGCCAUCUAGAGGGAUGACAGUGCAUGCAAUCAUUUAAAUAAAAUAAUACAAAGAUGCUGCAUGAGUCAUCAAUUCAAACAAGAACUUGUUUCAUGUGAUUUUUUGUGUAAAGUGGAAACAAAUUAUUUUUAUAACAACUAAUUCGACAACACAAGUGCUACACCGUGAUCAGUAUAUGCAUAUGAUACGAUCUAGCUAUUUUCCUUUGCACGGGUGGUUUUUAUCAUGAGGUAGGAGGGUUCGUACAAGUCGACUAUCAGCUCUCAUGCAAUGCUUUAAAAAGAAAAACGAGAGGAAUUUGUGAAUUUUUGUAUAACAUUGCAAAUUAUAUGAAAAAACUUUUUAAUUUGUCAGAACUUUUAGGAGGGAGUGAGUGGCAAAUGUUGGAAGACAUUCAAAGUUAGGAUGAUGGGAAUGCCUAUGGCAAUUUGGAGAACUUGGAGAAAACAUAUGCGAACUUGAGCUAGGUAGCAAUGUAGAGCUUAAUUAAGCUAAAUGGUUCAUAUUCAUUUGUUAGUCCAUGAGUUCGAGAUGAUGGACUCAACAAUUGGAUAGAUUUGGAGGGAACACGAAUUUGGAGUAGUGUGACAACAUAGCGAAGUAAUGACACAAUGGUCGAAGGGCUGAAGUUGAGGGGCUUGUGAUAGAUCCAUUUGUUGGCCCGUGGCUGCGCACGGGCGUUCUACUAGUAAUCAUUGGUGGCUUCUUUGACCACCAGACGGCUUAUUGACUUCUUCCACUCGAGGAUCACCGUGGAGCAAUCCUUCUUCCCCUUCCUACAGAAGCACGCCAACCACAAACAAAUGCUCAAAAAGACCUUAGCAAAUGCCAUUGAACUAGAUUGUAGGCAAGAGGAAUCUUAUUAGUUGGUAGAUGUAGAUGUCGAGGCCUCAUCAUUGCUUGCCAGAGGCCUCAUGUGUAUGUCGUGCGUCCCACCAGAGGCCUCUUUUAAUUAGAGGAAGGGCGGUGCGGAGAAGACAUCAUUAGUCACCCUGGGAGAAGAAAGUUCGGUGGCGGUGCGUGUAAAGAGGAGACUUUGGUAGUUUCUGGUGGAGUUGUGGUAGCCGUAGGGACGACGAGAGUGAGAGAGGACUGGGGACGGAGGAGAGGUGAUGGAUGGAAAAAAAUUGGGUGAUUGAGGACGAAAACCAAGAUGAAAANNNNNNNNNNNNNNNNNNNNNNNNNNNNNNNNNNNNNNNNNNNNNNNNNNNNNNNNNNNNNNNNNNNNNNNNNNNNNNNNNNNNNNNNNNNNNNNNNNNNNNNNNNNNNNNNNNNNNNNNNNNNNNNNNNNNNNNNNNNNNNNNNNNNNNNNNNNNNNNNNNNNNNNNNNNNNNNNNNNNNNNNNNNNNNNNNNNNNNNNNNNNNNNNNNNNNNNNNNACUAGAUGUCUCUGUAGUGAAGUAAUAUGAGCAUAACUUAAUUGAUCAGUGUAAAACUUUGAAUUGGUUAAGUAUACUACACUAAAGUAAGUUGUAAAGCCUAAUUGCAAUUAUAUCUUUGAGGGCAAUGCUUAUGAGUUGCGUGACAAUCUUGUCUGUUCUGGAUCUUGCAUCUGAUUCUAAUUAAACAGUACAUGUUAGAUGUUUUUAAUGAGGUCCACGUUAGAUUUGAUUGUUAAUUUAUAGUGCGGGUGAAAGCGGAUUCUAUCCUUUUCGUCUGCCAUUUUUCCUUUCAUAAAAUGUGUCCAUGGAGUAAUUCUCCACAAAAACAAACUUAACUGGACAAAAUAUCCACGGCAAGUCGCAUAUCUUGUGCAACUGUUCACUGUUGAAAGCUUAUUGUGCCACUACCCAUCAUUGCAAGGAAAAAAUACAGAAGAUUUAUGUUCUACCAAAUACAUUCUUUUGUUCAGAUUUAGCCAGGUAUGAUCCUGGUUGCGUCAGCCAUUAGAGUACAUUGCGAUCGACUAGACAGUUUCAGUGCUCAUCUUGCCUACUUUUGCAGCACUAGAUUUGCGAUCAGGUAGAUAAACACAACAACAAAGGAGACGACAGAUGCCAGCGGCCCAUAUUUCCCAAGAAUUCUCUGUGGGUUAAUUCCAUAAUACGGAUUGAAUUCUCUACUGGCACGGAAUCCAGCAACAAGGGCCACACCAUGCUGACACUAGCAGCUAUGUGUUGCUCCCGUGGGCAAGACCUGCCCAAGGAGGAUAGGUAAGAGAAAUGGCUGAAGACACACCAACACCUGGCAACAUGUAGGUUCAUAUUUCACCCCCACCCUUGGAUAAAACCGUGAAUCAUUUGAAACAUAUUAAAACUUGAGUGCAUUUUUUAUUUUGGAGAAAUAUAUAUGCUCACAAGAGCUUAGGAGUCACACGUCGGUUCUAGGUAAUUAAACAAACAAGAACAUUCACUUGUUGAGAAAUUUUACCACCUCUUCUUGCUUCUUUUAUGACACUAGAACUUGACGGGCUUUGGGUCACCUCCUUUUCGGUUUAUAAGGCUUGCGCGUAUCUCUAGGUUGACAAAUAGACCAACUUAAUACAAGUUGUAUAUCACAAAAAAUAUAUAAUUAGGAACUUCAAAUCGUAUACUUUCUAAUGGUAUAAUUUUUAGACUAUACAACUCAUGUUAUGUUGGUCAAGUUAUAGAUCCAGGGAUAUGUACAAGCCUUAUAAACCGGAAAGGAGGUAUGUUAGUAGAUAAACAUGCCAAUUAAGGACUUCUUGACAAGUCUAUGCAGAUUAAAGGUAUGUUAGUAGAUGGUGUAAUAAAUACAUGCUUUUAGCUAUCUAAGGAUACAAAUAUGCCACUAUUUACUUUGUAAAUGCUCGAAAUCAUUCUCAGAAAUUUUAGUAACAACAGUUGUCAUGAACAACUUGGACUAAAUGCAUCAAAUGUUACAAAUAAUACAUAAAAACAUUCAAAUGUACUUAGAGUGAAUCAAUUAAGACGUGUAAAGCUAGUACUAAUCCAAUAUUUCUUAAUGACUUGCAUAUACUUACAACACUUGACGUAAAGAGUGAAUCAAUUAAGACGUGCAAAGCCAGUACUAAUCCAAUUUUAUUAAUAGCUUCCACAAAAUUACAACACGUGGCGUAAAAAGGGAAUAUGAUGAGUCAUGUAUUGAUAACGUGUACAACAUUACUACCCUUGACAUAAAAAGAGAAGUUGAUGAGUCAUGUCUUAAUAACGUGUACAACAUUACUAUCAGCUUGUUCAUCUUACCAUCAUACUAUACAACACUAUAAGUUAGUUUAAAAAAGAAUAAGAGUCCAGAACAAACAUCACAAUACUAGCCUGAUCUAUAUUAACAACAUGCACAAGGACACAAAUUUAGUUCCCCGCAAGCUAUGAAGAUUUGGUUUAUGUCUAACAACUUGUACAAUAUGACAAACUUAGAUCCAAAAGGAAUGCAAACCAGAUAAUUGUAAUGCAAUCCAGAUAAUUAUUUGACAUGCAAAGUGAAUAAGAUGAGUCACUACCAAUUAUCAAGUUUUCCUCACUCUUAGAUGAUAUGAACCAUAAAAAGGCAACUUUGAUGAUCACUCCAUAAUUACGUUUGUAUGUAGUGCCACCAAACACAACACACAAAAUAAUUAGUUCGAUAAGCAUCGAAUCACUUUAAAAAGGAAAGCAAAAAUGGAAAGAAACCUAACCAUGGGAGCUAUAAAAAGGCCUGCAAUAUGUAGACUCCAUACCAUCAUCCAUCCUUCACACAACUAGAGCACAAGUAUCAAAUCCAAGUACGUAGUGGUUAACGCAAAUUAACCAUGAAGACCUUACUCAUCCUAACAAUCCUUGUGAUGGCAGUAACCAUCGGCACCGCCAAUAUGCAGGUCGACCCUAGCGGCCAAGUACAAUGGCCACAACAACAACCAGUCCUGCUGCCUCAGCAACCAUUCUCCCAGCAACCACAACAAACAUUUCCCCAACCCCAACAAACAUUCCCCCAUCAACCACAACAACAAUUUCCCCAGCCUCAACAACCACAACAACAAUUUCUCCAGCCACAACAACCAUUCCCCCAACAACCACAACAACCAUAUCCCCAGCAACCACAACAACCAUUCCCCCAGACUCAACAACCCCAACAACUAUUUCCCCAGUCCCAGCAACCACAACAACCAUAUCCCCAGCAACCACAACAACCAUUCCCCCAGACUCAACAACCCCAACAACAAUUUCCCCAAUCCCAGCAACCACAAUAACCAUUUCCCCAACCCCAACAACCGCAACAAUCAUUCCCCCAGCAACAACCAUCGUUCAUUCAGCCAUCUCUACAACAACAGCUGAACCCAUGCAAGAAUUUACUCUUGCAGCAAUGCAGACCUGUGUCAUUGGUCUCAUCCCUCUGGUCAAUGAUCUGGCCACAAAGCGCUUGCCAAGUGAUGAGGCAACAAUGCUGCCAACAACUAGCACAGAUUCCUCAGCAGCUCCAGUGUGCAGCCAUCCAUAGCGUCGUGCAUUCCAUCAGCAUGUAGCAAGAACAACAACAACAACAACAACAACAACAACAACAACAACAACAACAACAACAACAACAACAACAACAACAACAACAACAACAACAACAACAACAAGGCAUGCGUAUCCUGCUGCCACUAUAUCAGCAACAACAGGUGGGUCAAGGUACUCUCGUCCAGGGCCAGGGCAUCAUCCAACCCCAACAACCAGCUCAAUUGGAGGCGAUCAGGUCAUUGGUGUUGCAAACUCUUCCAACCAUGUGCAACGUGUAUGUCCCACCUGAGUGCUCUAUCAUCAAGGCACCAUUUGCCAGCAUAGUCACCGGAAUUGGUGGCCAAUGAAAAACGCAAGAGCCAUACUAAUAGGUAGAUGGAUCAUCGUUGCUUAGCUGAUUUACCAAUCGAUGUAACGAUGCCAAAUAAACUGGUGUGCACCAUCAUGUGUCAUCCUGACCAGUGCUAGUUCAAGAUUGGGAAUAAAAGAGAAGAACGUUCAUGUUUGCCAACAUUGCUUGUCAUUGUUCCAUUCACUGUGUAUUUAUAUUUUCAUCCUGAACUGCAAUUCUAGUCUUACACAUCAAUAGCUAGUUGCUCAUGUCGGCAGGUUCCUAUGUAAUCUAAUGAUUAAUGGUCGACCUAUUAAUCUAGUUUAUCGGCCGAUUGAUCUAUUAAUUGGUGCUCCCAAGCCGACCGAGCAGCCAUCAGUUACCGAUUUCCUGAACAUUGCACACAAUAAUAAUUCAACGUAUUUCAAUGUCUAGAAGUAAAAGGGCCAUAUAAGCAGUAAAACAAGCGCCUGAUUAGAAACCAUCCAUCACUUUAAAUUAAUCUAGAUAUUUUUGUGUUGGUGCAAUUUUGAGUUGAUGGCACCGACACAUUCUUGAAAGAAAUUCUACAGGGAACUCCAAAGAGGUGAAAAUCAAACUAAAGUUGCCACAUGGUAAAAGAUAAAUCAUGCGGCAAGCAAGAGGAAAUAUUGAGUCACAAUAGCUAGCGCCAAACAUGUAAUUAAACUAUUCUUAUGGUUUCUUGCAAAGAGGGAAGUAAUUUACAGAUGACAAACAAAACGUAAUUAGCAUUAGUUCUAAUUGAUUGUAGAAAUUUCUUUUAUCGGUAGAAUAACUCAGUUGUUAUUUAUUUAAACAUGCACUGUGAUAUUGACUUAUCUCAAUCUAGGAACACAAAGCAAAUACUACAUUUGCUGCUAUGGACUCCAAACAGAUGAGAAAUCAUUAUGUGUAGAAGUUCCUUAGAAGGAUAUUUUGGCCUAAACAAAUUUAACAUUGUACUCGUGUCUUACAUAGUUAAAGCUGAAAAAUCAACAUAACCAGUGGACACUUUGUAAGACAAGUGUGGGAAACAAAUAGUAGGAUAUAAAUUUGAGUAGAAUGUUUGCUCAAAUGUUGAAAAAAUAACCCAGCAAACUAAAACUCAGCAAAACAGUCUAUUCUACCUUAUACGGACUGUCACAAUGAUAAUGCUAUGUUUUUUUGGAAUACAAAUUCAAAAAAAAUCAGCCACAGAUCCCUGAGCCCAUCCAACAGGAGAGCUUCAAUUGAAAGAAGUAUUAGUUCGAUUAGACCAUGUAGUACCUAAAGGAGGAUGGUGGCCCCAUGGAACAACUCCAGCCUUUCCAUUGUGUCCGGGCGCAAUGCGAUAAUGGAGUUAUGGUCAUUGGUGGCUUCGCUGGCCAUAGACGGCUUAUUGACUUCUUCCACUUGAGGAUCACCGUGAACCAGUCCUUCUUCCCCAUCCUACAUAAGCAUGCCAACCACAAAUAAAUGCUCAAAAAGACCAUCUUAAAUGUCAUUGAACCGGAUUAUGGGAGGCAGAAUCUUAUGACUCGGUGGAUGCAGAUAUCGAGGCCUCAUUUGUAUGUUGUGCCUCCCACCAGAGGUGUCUUCUAAUUAGAGUGGUGCGAGAAGACAAUAUAAGCCACCGUGCAAGCGAAACAAUUAGGAGGCACUGCUUGUAAAGCGGAGAAUUUGGCACUGUCUGGUGGCAUUGCGGUAGCCGCAGGGUGGAAGAGAGAGAGGGAGGGAGGGAGGGAGGAUGAAUCGGAAAACCAGGAGCAGGGGUGAUCAACGAUGAAAACCAAGAUGAAAAAACAAUGUGCAAGAGAGGAAGAGGAAUAGGCUAGCUAUUUCUGUAGUGAAGUAAUAUGAGCAUAACUUAACCCAUAGGUGUGGAACUUGGAUUCGGUUGAAGUAUAUACUAUACUAAAGUAAGCUGACUAAUUGCAAUUUAAAUCUUUGGUGGCAAUGCUUAUGAGUUGUGAGGCCAUCUUGACUAUUCUGGAUCUUGCAUAUGAUUCUAAUUAAACAGUAUAUGUCAGAUGUUUUUAAAGAGGCACACAUUAUAUUUGAUUGUUGAUUUACACAUUCUAAUUAAACAUUAUAUGUCAGAUGUUUCUAAUGAGGCCCACGUUAGAUUUGUAUGUUGAUUUACAAAGGGAUUGAUAAGUUGAUUCUAUCCUUUUUCCUCUGCCAUUCUUCCUUUCAUAAAAUGUGUCCAUCGAGUAAUUAUCCACAAUAACAAACAUGACUAGACAAAAUAUCCACGACAAGUUGCAUAUCUUGUGCAACUGUUCACUGGUGAAAGGCUAUUGUGCCACUAUCCAUCAUUGCAAGGAAAAAACACAAAAGAUUUAUGUUCUAUCAAAUAUAUUAUUUUGUUUGGAUUUAGCCAGGUAAGAUCCUGGUUGCGUCGGCCAUUAGAGUACCUUGCGAUCGACUAGACAGUUUCAGCAUAUCUUCUUGCCUCCUUUUGCAUCACUAGAUUUCGAUGGGCUUGCGAACAGGAAGAUAAACACGGCAACAAAGGAGACGAGAGAUGCCAGUGAUCCAUAUUUCCAAAUAAUUCUCUGCAAGUGAAUUCCAAAGAAUGCAUUGAAUUUUGUGCUGGCGUAGAAUCCAGCAGCAAGGGAAACACCAUGCUGACGCUAGGAGCUACGUGCUGCUACCGCGAGCUCCCAUGGCAAGACCUGCCCAGGGAGGACCGGCAAGAGAAACGGCUGAAGACACACCAAGACCCGGCAACAUGUAGGUUCAUAUUUCACCCCCACCCUCAGAUAAAAAUGUGAAUCAUUUCAAACAUAUUAAAACUUGAGUGGAUUUUUUUAUUUCGGAAAAAUAUGCCCACAAGAGCUCAGGAGUCAACGUCAGUUCUAGGUAAUUAAACAAACAAGAAGAUUGACUUGUUGAGCAAUUUUACUACAUUUUCUUGCUUCCUUUUACGACACUAGAACUUGAUGGACUUCCGGUCAGCUAGAUAAACAUGCCAAUAAAGGACUUCUUGACAAGUCUGUGCAGAUUAAAGGUAUGUUAGUAGGUGGUGUAAUAACACAUGAUUUUAGCUAUCUAAGGAUACAAAUAUGCCACUAUUUAUUUUGUAAAUGCUGGAAAUCAUUGUCGGAAAUCUUAGUAACAACAGUUGUCAUGAACAACUUCGACUAAAUGCAUCAAAUGUUAGGAAUAAUACAUACUAACUUAGUUCAAUAAAUUAACCUAUUGAAGCAAGAAAAGAAACCUUGAAAUGUACUUAGAGUGAAUCAAUUAAGACAUGCAAAGCCAGUACUAAUCCAGUUUUAUUAAUAACUUCCACAAAAUUACAACACGUGACGUAAAAAGGGAAUAUGAUAGGUCAUGUAUUGAUAACGUGUACAACAUUACUACCCUUGACAUAAAAAGAGAAGUUGAUGAGUCAUGUCUCAAUAACGUGUACAACAUUACUAUCAGCUUGUUCAUCUUACCAUCAUACUAUACAACACUACGAGUUAGUUUAAAAAGGAAUAAGAGUUCAGAAUGAACAUGACAGUACUAGCCUAAUCUAUCUUAACAACAUGCACAAGGACACAAAGUUUGUCUGCCACAAGAUAUGAAGAUUUGGUUUAUGUCUAACAACUUGUAUAACAUGACAAACUUAGAUCCAAAGGGAACACAAUCCAUAUAAUUGUUUGACAUGUAAAGUGAAUAAGAUGAGUCAGUGCCAAUUAUCAAGUUUUCCUCACUCUUAGAUAAUAUGAGUAGCAAAAAGGCAACUUUGAUGAUCACUCCAAAAUUACGAUUGUAUGCCGUGCCACCAAACACAACACACCAAAAAAUUAGUUCGAUAAGCAUUGAAUCACUUUAAAAAAGGAAAGCAGUGAUGAAAAGAAACCUAGCCAUGGUGGCUAUAAAAAGGCCUGCAAUAUGUGAGCUCCAUACCAUCAUCCAUCCUUCACACAACUAGAGCACAAGCAUCAAAUCCAAGUAGGUAGUAGUUAACGCAAAUCCACCAUGAAGACCUUACUCAUCCUGACAAUCCUUGCGAUGGCAAUAACCAUCGCCACCGCCAAUAUGCAGGCCGACCCUAGCGGCCAAGUACAAUGGCCGCAACAACAACCAUUCCUGCAGCCUCACCAACCAUUCUCCCAGCAACCACAACAAAUAUUUCCCCAACCCCAACAAACAUUCCCCCAUCAACCACAACAACAAUUUCCCCAGCCUCAGCAACCACAACAACAAUUUCUCCAGCCCCGACAACCAUUCCCCCAACAACCACAACAACCAUAUCCCCAGCAACCACAACAACCGUUCCCCCAGACUCAACAACCCCAACAACCAUUUCCCCAGUCCAAGCAACCACAACAACCUUUUCCCCAGCCCCAACAACCGCAACAAUCAUUCCCCCAACAACAACCAUCGUUGAUUCAACAAUCUCUACAACAACAGUUGAACCCAUGCAAGAAUUUCCUCUUGCAGCAAUGCAAACCUGUGUCCUUGGUGUCAUCCCUCUGGUCAAUCAUCUUGCCACCAAGCGAUUGCCAGGUGAUGCGGCAACAAUGUUGUCAACAACUAGCACAAAUUCCUCAGCAACUCCAGUGUGCAGCCAUCCAUAGCGUCGUGCAUUCCAUCAUCAUGCAGCAAGAACAACAAGAACAACUACAGGGUGUGCAAAUCCUGGUGCCACUGUCUCAACAGCAACAGGUGGGUCAAGGUAUUCUCGUCCAGGGUCAAGGCAUCAUCCAACCUCAACAACCAGCUCAAUUGGAGGUGAUCAGGUCAUUGGUGUUGCAAACUCUUCCAACCAUGUGCAACGUGUAUGUCCCACCUUACUGCUCCACCAUCAGGGCACCAUUUGCUAGCAUAGUCGCCAGCAUUGGUGGCCAAUGAAAAAAAACAAGAGCUAUUCUAAAAGUUAGAU
rnacentral:lncRNA from 1 species